UCUAAUUUACAUCUAGAAAACUUUGGCAAGCAUCUCUUACUGAGACAAUAAAAGAAUUUUCCACCAGUUGACAGCUAUAUAAUAUUGCCUAUGAAAAAUUUCUUAUAAGUGUGAGUUACUUGACAUAGAUUUUUCAGCCAUAAUCUCUAAAAUUCUCUUACUGAGUACAAGAUUUGCAAACUGUUUAACCAAUUGAAGAAUUAGUUACAAAAUUUAGGGUUAUAAGCAAAUAUUUGUCCUUCAUUGACUAUUAACCUAGAACUUUUAAUUUUCUUGUUAUACGUUCCUUUGCAAUAUAAAGAUGGUGGUGUACCCUUUAAGAAAGACUUGAAUUUGCUUUACUCUGGUAUAUUCUGAAGUUGUUGUGAGCCUGUAAUAAACUGGGGAUUAGAAGAUUAAAAAUAGUGAAUUGACAAGUCUUCCAGUCCAACUGAGGGCCAGAUUCCUCUAAGUUUAUGCAAAAAGUAGCUAAAUAUAAUAUACUAUUAAGUAGUUUUUAAAAUAAUGAAAAUAAUAAAUAAUAGUAAAUAAUAAAUACACUCAAUGUUGUCCAUUUCCCUCUUGCUUUUACUACAUGUAGAUUAUCUCAUUUUGGAAGAGUAAUUUUAAAGGUUUUCAGACAAUUCAAUUACAAGAUCGGAUUAUUCGUAAUUCAGUGAUAAAAAUUUGUGCCACAGAUUAACUUUAGUAUAUUUGGUAUUCAAGAAAUUUUUUUAAUGUAUUGUUUUAUGUCCUACAGUAGCUAUGUAAAAGGAAAUUUUUUUUUCAUAUCACAAGCAGAAGCUUGUUUAAUUCCCAUAUCUAGUACCUCCAAAACGUAAAAUGCCAUAUACUGGUAAGCCUUCUUGCUUACUGUGUGUGCUGCGAAGUUCAAAGGCAUUUGUUUUUUUUUUUUAUAAACCUCUGUGAAUUCAGUGGGAAUCUUUGGGAAUGAUGUGUUUCUCAUUAUGUACAAAUUAUUUUCAUGGUGUGUAUUCUCAUCCAUGUCAAAAUAUAUCACUGUAAUACUUUGUGGUUUUUAUAGCCAAUGUCAGGGUAUGUAUUUAUGUGGAUAAAGUCUGUGGAUAAAUUUUAUGCUGCUUUUAAAAGCCUUUUAAAAUAUAGUUAAGUGAAGUUUUUGAGAAAUGAAUGGCAUAUCGAUCACAUUGCCUGUUAAUGAAAAUCUUACAUUUAUUAUCGAAGUUGUUUUGAUUUUAGGGAAAAUGCGAAAAUGUUAUUGCUCCUUGAAGAAUAAAGAAGACAGAGUGAAGCAAAUAGACAGUUGCUUACGCUAGCAUAGAUUAUUUAUAUCUGCAAAAUAUCUGUAUAAUUUGCUGUUCUCAGAUUUGUGCAAAAAUUGUGUAACAGAACUUAGAAUUUUAAAAAUUUCAAAUUUGUAACUUAUGUCACGAUUGUUUCCUUCCCUAACUACUUUACGUAUAGGAAUAUAUUCUGUAGCAUGUCCUUAGAGCAGUGGGGGCCAGCUCACAUGGAUUUGGCAACAGCACUGAAGAUUUAAACAUUUUUUUUUUCCUUUGAGACUCCGGUCAAUACAAAUAGAUAAAAAGGCUUUUAAUUUUCCGAGUUAUUUUUAUUUGGGAUAAAAGUGUCUGAAUUUAUACUGUGCACAUUUAUCAGUUAGAUCUUCUUUCUCUUCUUGAAGUGACAUCCUGAAAUCCUCCUUUUGAUAGCCCUUCUGCCUCCUUGUCAUAAAAAUGACCACAUUUUCCAAUGACAUUUGACUUGUACUUAAGGACUCUUGCAUAUUUUGGAAAUAUUGGGCUUCCCACAGCCAGGAACAGACUCAGUGUCCAGUGGAAACGGACCAAGAUGGGUCGUGUGUAAAUCUGAAAUAUGCAAGAGUUCAUUUGCAAAUAUAUUAGGUAGCUGCUAAAAAUAUCACCCCACUUCUUAACAGUGUGCAUCUUGGACAAACAGGCGCAUAUUUUGUCAUCAAGUUGCUUAAGCUUCUGAAGUCAGGGCUACAACUGGGUCAGAUAAUAAGAUGAGCACAACAGAGAAACGAAGAGCACGUCUGAUAAAACCUGAUUGAUUGAUGUCUGGCUUCCCCACCAUCACAGGCAGUUGACAGUUAGUUUGGGAUCAGAUGAUUUGGCUUUUGCGAUAGAAGAUGGGGCCCGGUAGGCAAGCCUGAAGGACAAAAAGGUCGGUUUCUGUGUACUGUCAAGUAAUGCCGAGCUCCCACCAGGUGGGACGUUAUUAAUAUUUCAUUCUUUCUUUUUUAGGUCCAGGCCCUAACAUUUGAUAGUCACUUAAAGGCAUGAAGAUUCAGUCUACAAACAGAAAUGUGUGACUACCUUCCUGUUUUGUUUAAUUUAAUGUUCUUACAUUAUUUAUGUCAUCAAGGGCAAGAGCAUAUGCUUAUUUAAUAAGUGUCAUAUUUUAUAUGCUAGUUUGCAAUAUAGAAUGACUUGUGCCUAUUUAAUAUUAUAAUCUUAUAAGGUAAACUGUUAUAAAAAUAAUCAUAACGCGUAAAUGGCCAAGGUUAAUAUUUUAAAAAUAAUGUUUAUGGAGGAAUAUAGGUUUCCUGAGGGGAAAAUUACAAUGUAAAUUAAGCUAGAGUUAUCAGUUCCAAGUGUUUUGGUAUUCUAGAUUAUGAGAAGCUUAGGUGAAAAAAUAUUCUAGGACACAGUUUAGACAUGUCAGAGUUUGGGAAACCUUGGCUGUCACAUUGGGAGAACUUUAUAUUUUAUAUAGGUCCAUGGUAAGUGCCUGAUAGUGCUAUAAUCUGCUGAAGUCUAAUCUUGCUGGUGAGGGGAUUUUUAGGAUGUGUCUGUGUAUUUGAAUCAUGGACAACCCCAAAUUCUUGAUGCAUAUGAAAAUCGCCUUAAAAAUAUAUGCUAGCUAGUUUAUAUGCUAGCACAGAACAAAAUUAUAGAUCACUUUUGAGUUAGAGCAUAAUUAAUAAUUAGGAUAAAUAUUCUUAGAUGAAAGAAGGAAGGGAAGAAGGGAUGGAAAGAAAGGAAAGAAGGAAGAAAGGAAGAAAGAAAGAGAAAGAAAGAAAGAAAACGAAAGAAAGAAAAAGAAAAAAGAAAGAAGAAAAAAGAAAAGAAGGAAGGAAAUUAGAGUAGGUCGUUUUAGAGUAAAACAUUUUCCAGUUUGGGCCAUGAAAAUUAGUACAACUGUUAUAGGGUUGGAAUUUGGACAGCUUGGAUUUGAAUUUAGAUUUAGGACAGUUUGAUACUCCCCAGAAAUCCUUUAGGAUGUAUCACUUUUCUCUUGAGUUUUAAGGGUCAGAUCUCCAAAGGACAGUUGGGUCUCAGCUCAUACUGUAGGCUUAAUAUCAGCAAGAUGAAUUCUGCAAGGUGCUGUAUUGCUGAUAGUGUAAGUGGAAGACUGUAUGAAGCACUUGCACCCAAACCUGAAGUGGUACUUGCAGUAAGUGACCGGGAAAGGGGGGCUGAUGGCCGUGUCAGCAGUGAUUGGUAAUACUUCCAAGAAAGGUGCUGUAAGAAAAUGACUUGGUCUCUUCUACACACAUUCAUAGGGAAUGAAUAUCUAUCUAUCUAUCUAUCUAUCUAUCUAUCUAUCUAUCUAUCUAUCUAUCUAUCUAUCUAUCUAUUAUCUAUCUAUCAUCUAUCUAUCUAUUAUCUAUCUAUCAUCUAUCUAUCUAUCUAUCUAUCUAUCUAUCUAUCUAUCUAUCUAUCUAUCAUCUAUCUAUCUAUUAUCUAUCUAUCUAUCAUCUAUCUAUCUAUCUAUCUAUCUAUCUAUCUAUCUAUCUAUCUAUCUAUCUAUUAUCUAUCUAUCUAUCAUCUAUCUAUCUAUCUAUUAUCUAUCUAUCAUCUAUCUAUCUAUCUAUCUAUCAUCUAUCUAUCUAUCUAUCUAUCUAUCUAUCUAUCUAUCUAUCUAUCUAUCUAUUAUCUAUCUAUCUAUCAUCUAUCUAUCUAUCUAUCUAUCUAUCAUCUAUCUAUCUAUCUAUCUAUCUAUCUAUCUAUCUAUCUAUCAUCUGUCUGUCUGUCUGUCUUUCCAUCUGACCUAGGAACACUGAAGAAUCAUUAUAGGUAUACUUACCAAGACUUUGUAGAAAGAUGUUUCGGGCAGAACCAGCACACCUGUAGCGACCCUGUUCUGAUGGCCACGUCACGGGUAGGAGCCCAGCGAUACUAUUGACUGGUGGCAGCUAGUAAUGGUCAACACUUGUUACAUCGGGGAAAAGAGAACCCAAGUGGAUUUUUCUUGUAUAAUUGCUGUGUAAGUCUCUGAUACAGUUUUUGAGUUAUUCAGUUCAAUAAUCUUUGAUUUUAAGGCGGUGUAACAGUUGUCCAAUGCAAAUUGCUUUGAUACUAUGUAGGGUUUUUAGAGUAGAGUAUCCAUGAACAGCUCUCUCAAGUUUAUUAACUUGCUUUUCUACGCACACACCCACACACGCAAUAUCAUAGUUUACCUAAAACUUCCUUCUCAACACCUUUAUUCCUUCAGUAUUUUUGUUUCUUUCUGUUAUUCCGUGUGGCUUUGAAUUGCACACUUCCUUUUGCCUAGGCAUAAGCUGCAUUUGAAAAAUAUCUAAUUAUACAUUGAGGAAAAUUGGAGUUGACAAAUGAAAAAAAUGUCGGGUCAUAAAAAUAAUUAAUAUCAGCAGUCCUUAUAAAUGGAAAGUAACAAUCAGCUAUUUGGUCAGCUAGACUGAAAUUUCUUUCUACAUAGCUUCGGGAAUCUCAUUUAAGGAAGAGUAGGAGUUUGAAGAUGCAGGGGCUAGACUGAUUAGUCUGACAUUCACUUUGAUGUUUUUUCACUCUUGGUUUGGAAGUUUUUGUUCCCAAGCAAGAAGAACAGUAAGGUUUUAGGUAGAGGAUGUUACUGAGGAAGAUCUUUGGGGAUUUGUUUUCUCGAAACUGGUUAGUAUCAGUGUUCUUUAUAUUGAGAAAUAAUCUCUUAGGUAUUACAAGAGGUGAAAUAGAUGUUAGCUGCACAUUGUUCUUCUUACCCUGAGAAAGAAAAAUUAAUUAUUACAUACUGAUUUAAGGCUUUCAAACCUAGGAUCCAUAGGCUUUGAGGAGUUUGUGAAUAUCCAGACAUUUUAUGCAAAAUUAGGGUAUUAAAGAAUUUUUCUGGGAAGGGGUUUUCAUGAAAUAGUCAAAGGGCUUCACUUUUGAUGGGCUCAUCAAAACCUUGAGACCACUCUAGAGAAUUUCUAUAUGUGUGUCAAAUGAUUACUUGUGACAUUUUAAAAUGUAACCAUAUAAGAGUUGUUUCAUUUUUAUUUGUCAAAUGAUUUUCUUCAAAAAUAUAAAAUCAAAUCUCUCGCCUUGCUGCUCUAAAUCCUCCUCCAGUGGAUGUCCUUUGCAAUUAAUUCCUGAACUUUUUAUAUGACCUCCCACAUCUUCCCUGAUCUGUUCCUCGCCUUCCUGUCUCAUCUGAUCACCAAAUAUACCAUCAUCAUGUGCCAAUUCCCUUUCUAAUCCCUGUCCUGGCCGGCCCCGUAAAGUACCUGUAUUCACCACAUUCCAUUUUUACCGGUCUUCCUUCUCUUCCUUGAACGUGCCAAGCUGCUUUUCUACCUGCAGUGUUAUUUCCCUGGAUUUUUUUUUAAAAAGAUUUUAUUUAUUUGACAGAGAGACAGAGAGAGAGGGAACACAAGCAGGGGGAGUGGGAGAGGGAGAAGCAGGUUCUCCGCUGAGCAGGGAGCCCGAAGUGAGGCUCGAUCCCAGGAUUAUGACCUGAGCCACUCAGGCGCCCCUUCCCUAGAUUUUUAUAUUGCUGGCUCCUUCUUAGCACUUUUCACUUCACAUGUCAACUCUUCAGGAAGAUCUGCUUUAACCCCUUAUGUAGAGUUUUCUAGCACCUCCAUGCCUCAGUUUGCUCUCUAACCCAUUCCCCUGUUUUAUUUUCAUACACUACUAGUUACCUGAAAUUAUCUUAUUCAUUUGUUGGUAUGUUUACCUGCUUAUUAGAUAAUUUAUCAUUAGAUUCUAAGCUCAAUAGCUGUGGGAUCUGGUUGUGUUUACUUAUAUAUCUCCAGUUGCUAGAAGAGUACCUGGCACAUAGCAAACACUCAAAGAAUAUUGGCUGAGUGAAUGAAUGAACAAUUUUUGAAAAUCUACAUCAUUUCUCGUGGUAUAUCUUUAAACAAAGUUGGUAUUGCAGUUGUCUACUCAAGAAAAAAGAGCACCCACAUGCCUUAAAUUAACUCCUGUUUUUCAUUUAACAGUCAUUUAACAAAUAUAUAGUAAUUAUCAAUUAUUGUACUGUGCUAAGCCAUGGAGAGGGGAGAAUACAACAGUGAACAAACUGUAGUCUCUCCCUUCUGGGAGCCCACCAGCUAAUGAAGGAGAAAGUCAUGGUUACUGUACGCUGUGAUAGAUUCACAAUACAUGGAGGUAUGAGGUGUCGUGGCACCCAGAUGCCCAGGCGAGUUUGGAUAAGCCUCUAGAUUGAGGUCUUAUGUAAUCCGGGGCUUGAGGAAUGAGUAGGAGAUCCAGUCAUGACGAGGGGGAAUUGCAUCUUGGCAGAAAUCAACAGGUUGGCCAGGAGCAGAGAGGCACUGAAGAAGAUGGUAUUUUCAAGGUCCAGUGAAGAGUUGUGGCCCAAGAUGUGUCUACGUGGAAAAGAGUGGCAGGAAUGGAGCUUCAAAACUAACUUGGAACCAGAUUUUUAAAAGGUUUUGUGUGCCAUAUUACAGAACUAGAAUUUGUCCCUUAGGUAAUUGAUGGCCACCGCAGAUUUUGAAAAAUAGAGCCUGAUUAGUGUAUUUCGAAUGUGCCUGAUAAUUACAUGGCCUUACCUAAUUGCCAUCUGGUAAUAGGAGAGGACAAGAAGCCCUUGAGCUGACAGUGGUUUUAGUCACCUUUCAUUUUGUUAAAUUUAACAGUUAUUGUUAUCUCACAUUCAACUUUAGUCCUUCUGUGCUCCCCUUUAACUUUUAGAUGUAGAUUUAAUAAUAGCAUUGCAGCAGAGGGCUAAAACCAUCAUUCAUUGAUUUCAGUAGUUUGGUAUGAAUAUUUUAUUGAGGCGAGACAACACAUGCAAAAAUAAAUGAACAGAGCAAUAUCUUUUUAAUUGAAUCUGUUUGUGCUUAACUCAUGAGAUUGUCUUCGGUAGUAGCUUUCCAUUCAUUCAUAUGCAUUAGCUUAGUUUUAUAACUGAAUAUCGAGAAGGAUAAAUUUAUGUUCAAUAGCAAGUGGGCAGAAUAAUUUUUACCAGAUUGCCAAUUGUUGCAACAUCUUUGGAAGACAAUGUGGCACUUUAUAGCAAUUACAAUUGCACAUAAACUCUUGGACCCAGUGAUUCCACAUAUCCCAUAGAAACUCUUAAGUAUAUGCUGGUUACAGCAUGGUUUGUAACAGCAUAAAAUUAGAAAUUACUUAAAUGUCCACUAAUAGGGAAUGGGUUAAAUAAAAGUAUAGUAUAACCCUCAUUGUAGUUUAUAUGUUAUAAAGGAUGGGGCCAGAUGUGUCCAUACUGAUAUGGGAGCAUCUCAAAGACUUAUAAAGUAAAAAAAUAAUAAUAAAAAAAUAAAUUAAAAACAUUUAAAAAAUCAGUAUGGUAUCUUCUUGUUAAAAAUGAAAGGAUGAAUAGAUAGAUAUAUAUAUAUUUAUAUUUUGUCACAAAAACAUCUGAAAAGAUGUGUAAGAAAUUAUUAAUGAUGCUUUUCUUUGGGAAUUAGGACUGGGAGUUUGCAGUAGGGCAUAGAUUCCCUUUCCACUGUGUGCCUUUUGAUAGUGUUUUAAUUUUUUUAACCAAUUACAAUUUUAACCAAUUAUAAAUUAAGGCCAUUAAUGAAGAUUAACACAAAAGUAAAAGGCAUCCAUCGGAAGGUGUAUGUUAUUUUCACUACCAGUGAAAGCCACUACCAGGACUGCUAAGAAAUCCUUUUGGGGGGGAGGUGGGGGGUGAGGGAUAGAAAAUAGUCAAGUAUGUAUUGCCACUAUAAUUAAGUGUUAAAUUGCUCAUCUUCGCUUCAGUUGUGUAAUUAGGAGGGUAGAAAUACUGUUGCGGGUUGGGAAGAAAGGAUAGGGAUUGGAUAAAAAUAUUUGAUAAAAUGUUUCAGUAUCUGUCUAAUUCAGACAUUACUGUGAGGGAGAAUAGCUAUAAUGAUAAAUUUUCCUCUAGUCCUUAUUAAGCUUAAUAUGAGAGUAUACGAAAAGUGAGCACUCCAGUGAAGAUUAAGCUCUCUGUUUUCCUUUAGAGGAGGAAAUAGCACAGAGAAGAAGAUUUUCAAUACAUUGCCUUUUAAAGUAUAGUAUUUCUCUAUUCUCAGCAUAGGUCAUGGCUAUGUUAUUUGCUUCAGAUUAAUAGUGUAUGAUACUUCGGUUUUAGAUAAAAGAUCUGUUCUUUAAAAUUUGAUGUUCUAAUAUAGGCUCUGUUUUACAAAAAGCAGUUUAUCCCCAAGACAUUGUUUUUCUGAGUUCGGAAAUUUUGUCCUGCUCUGCCUGGCACUGUUCAUCUUUAACCCAUACCGAGUGUUUUACCUUUGGAAUGAUAUUAAAAUGCCUAUUAUUUUUCUCCAGAUUAUUAUAUGCAGAUAUAUUUUGGUUCUGGACCACAUAUAUUGCUUCCUUUUUGCACCUUAUCAAAGGUUUUGUGUCCUUGAAAAUCUUCCAGGCCAUCACAUGUAUUCUUGCGGGAAGCAGCAACAACAAAAGCCAUGAGCUGAUCCUGUACAUGGUAUAGGGCUAAAGCUUCAAGUUCCAGUGGGAUUUAAGGAUGCCCUGAAAAAAACCAGGAAGGUCUUAAUUCAUAAAUGCCACCGUAAAUUUCCUCUGGUAAUUAUGAUAGAAUGGAAAAGGAAAUAAGCAAUGUUGAAUUUUUGUCAAAUAAUUUUAAAGAAGUGGGCAUGAAGUUGGGCUAGAAAUAACAUACACAGUUGCAAGAAAUUAUCAUCUGGAUGCAAAAGAAAUAUUUGUUUCUCUUAUUUGAAGGGACCUAGAGCCUAGAAAAGUUAAUACAUCUUGCUAUGUUUGUUUAGUCUACUCUUUUCAGCCUUGUUAGUGCAUAUGACCAAAAGGUUAGUUUCAUUCAUUUUCUUCUUAAGGAUUCUGAAGAAACCUAGGGCGGGCCUGAAGAUUUUAUUGUAUUUUUAUAUUUUACAUACUUAGUUUGGACAGUGGCGUUUCCAGGAUGCAUGGUCAAAUGGAGAUAAAUUCAUCUAAUCAGUGGCCUUAUGCAAUGCCUUUCUGUAAGUAAGAGAAUUUGUUUGGGGAAAAAAAAUUUUUUUUUUUUUUUUUUUGAUUUGGCUUCUUGAGGCUUCUUGUCAUCGAGAAUUCUGUUCCUAAAGAUCUAGAGAAGUAUCAGAGGAAAACAGACCCAAAGUGGAUCCAGCCCCCUGCUUCCCUGUGGCCUGCUGAUGUCCCAACCAUCAAGUGUUGAAAAGCCACAAGUGGUUUUCAUGAUGAUAAAGUUAGUGGUUGGUACUAAAAAUAGACUCGGAGCAAGGCCCAGUAGAAGUUACUGAAGAUGAUCUGGUUAAAACUACCUCUGCCCGGAAGAUCAUACAUUUCUAGAAUGACUGAUUUCAAAAGUGAGAAGUCAUUUAGAAUUAUUUAUGUUACUAGGAUCCAUUUUCAGAAUCAGGUGGAAGACUACAUGGAGUGUAUCCUGAUCAUACGGUAUGCCACCUCUCCACAGCCACCCUGUGGAAAUCUGUUAGCCUAUAGGACUGAAUAUUCUAAGAAAUAACUUUCCAAGCUCAUCUACUUGAAAAUAAGAGUGUAGGUAAAUUUACCUCUUAACUUCAAGACAAUGCAAUGGCUGCCUGUGGGGUAGUACUUGAAUGGAGCCAUCUUUGCAUUUAGAAGGGGACUGAUGUAUACAAUCACUCUAUUAGAGAGGGAGGGGUAUGGUAUAUUGAUUCAGAACUUGGGAGUCUUCUAUCAGGCUUUCAGUGACAGCUCUACUACUUCCUUGUUGCAUGUCCUUGAGCAAGUUACUUAACCUGUGACUCAGUUUCCUCCAUUUGUUGAGAAGGGGUUACUAAGGAAACUGGUACAGUGGGUUAAUGUUAAGCAUUAUAUCGAUUAAUACAUGCAAAGAGUUUAGAACAGUACCAGGCCUACACUAGUAAAACAUUUUUUUUUUAUUAUUGGCAUUUUUGAGGUCAAAUCCAUGAAAAUAAAUUGUUCUCUUAAAGGAAGGAAUAAGAAUCCCCAGGCAUCUAAAAUAUAAAUUUAAAGGUCUCUGUUUUGCAUACUUUAAUAGAUGAAUAUUUAAAUGCAGUCUUCUCUUUUUUGUAAAUAAUGUUCCUGCUUGGAGUAAAAAGAGAGAUCUUGUUGAAUAUCCUAAGUAAUUGAAACUUUUUGCUCUGACAGCCCUAAAAUAGUUUUUUUAAGUUUUCUUCCCAAGGAAGAAAAGCUUUCAAGCUUCACUGGGAAAUGCCAUAUAAAAUAUAUUGAUAGUAAAAUGUAAUCUAUUUAUCACCCAUACAUAGCUAUAAACCAGUAAAUGUUUUUAAAAUUUAUGAAAUCUGUUACAGACCAUUUUGUCUAAUUUUCCAUUAAAUAACAUGCAGUGCCUUGGGUAUCAUAAUAUUACUAGAAAACAUGAGUGGUAAGGUUUUCUUUUUUUGCCUUCCAGACAGUUCUGGAGUUAAUACACAAAAUUUCAUUUAGAAAGAUCCUGAGUGGAGUAUCUGAAAAGGUCAUUGAAGAAACCAAUUGGUUAAAAUGCAUUUGGAUGACCUGAACACAUAGUUGUUGUGUCUCUAAAUCCCAGACAUACUUUAUUAGGACAAUCCAGCUGGUUUGCUAUUUCUAUCUCCUCAUUAUCAACACGUUAUGGUAUGGCCUCUUCCCUCUCUCUUCCAAUGCCAAGAAUUUGGCAGGGACACCAUGCUAGCAAGUCAGAGACUGGGGGGUGGGGGUGGGGCAAAACAGUAGCUCCAGGCUGCUGUGAGGGUAGGGAAAUACGUUGUCUAAACAUUUUGCCACUGGAUUAAGGUUGAUAGUGGACAUUUGUAGACUCUACUUGAAGAAUUUGAAGACAUAAUAACAUUUCAUGGGUUUCUGGAAAUAGUCUUAAAAAAAAUUCUGUUCAUGCUGGUCUAUACUUCCCUAUAUAUAGAAUCUGUAAAUCUUGAAGGUCCAAAUUCUUUGCUUUCCUCUGUUUUCCCAGCCAUUAUCUCUCAUAGAAGCUCAAGAAAGUGAGAAAAGAAAAGAUUUGUCUUUAGGUCUCAUUUCAUAGGUUGCCUGAUCAAAACCAACUCAGUAACUGAAUAUCAUGGCACAUUGUAUUAUUAUGCAAGUGACUCUACUAAAUAGACUAAAGUAGAACCUCUUCUAAUAUAUCAUAGUAUAAAGAAAACAGACAUGUAAAUCUAUUUUUGGUUAUGGUUCACAGUUUUGUUUAAAAUUAGUAAAAUGAAAAGCAAUCACAUUAAGAACUCCCUUGACAGUUUCAUAGGAUUUCAGAUUUUGUGUUAGUAAAGCUCUUUGAAAUUUAUCUUAGGGCUUUCACAAAAAUAUGGAUUAUGAAUUUUAUAACGGUUAUACACAUGAUCUUUUCUUGUGUGUAUGUAUGUAAUUUUGUGCACUAUACAAUUUUCUUUUUAUUGAUCUUCUUUUCUAUAAAGAACUUCAAAUUGUCCUACUGACAUUCAUUGGGAUGACUUCAUGAAAUAUUUUCUUUACUUUGAUAGAAUGUUUUAAAAAUCAUCUCAAAUUAAAAUUAUUUAUUUACUUUUCAAAAGCCAUGAAUUAUGCUAUCAGAGCAACCUAAAGGUAUUUUUUUCAUGAUAUUCCACAUUAUUAUAAAAUAUUAGAUUUUAAUAAAUAAAGGGUCAUCUUGCCUAUAUAAAGAGAUACUUAUGACAAGGUAUGGAGGUUGUGAUCUCUUUUCUCCACUUAGGAAGCAACUACAGAAGGAAAUAUUUCAUUCACAUAUAUAUUAUUUAUAUAUCUUAAAAUUUCUUUACUCUGGUUCUUAGAUAUAUCCCAUACAAUAACUCAGACACCCAAAUAAUGGCAAUUAUAAUGUUAUCAAUAUCAGUAGAAACUCACUAAUUUAGAAAUUGAUACCCAGGGUCUUUUUUUUUUUUUUUAUAAUGUUCUUUCCCUAUUGGUAAAAUGUAUUACUUUGUGUUUCUUAUUUAAUCUUCUUAUUUUAUCUUUCUUAGCUUAUUGUAAAGGGCAAUAAUGGAUUUUCAUGUUUUAAAAAUAUUUAAGUUAAAUAAUAAUAAUAAGGUGGGACUUCAGUCAUCUGAAAAAGGGAUAAAGCCAUGAGUGAAAGAAUAUCUACCCUAUAGCUUUUAUUAAAGAGAAAAACGUGUAAUUUUUUUAUUCACUAGUCAGAAUUGUGCCAUCAGUACAGAAGUGAGUAAAAGUCUCAGCUUUCUUCUAAAAAUCUUGAUUCCUUGAAGUUUUCAUCACCCUAGGAAAAAUGGAAGAGGACUGUGUACGAAUUUGCAUGCAUCUUAAUUUUAUCGUUGUAGUAAUGCUUACUGAAUAUGUCAGUAGGACGCUGAAAUUUACUGUGGGUAGGAAAAAAAAAGAAUGCAAAUUAAAAGAGAAAGAGUUUAUUCACAAAUUAAAGAAAUUGUUCCCUUGGGUGUCUCCUUAAUUGAUGAAGAGCAAAUAAGUAGGGUACAGUUAACUAGACAAGCAGAGAAGGGCAGGCAUAUCUCUCAGGACUGAGGUUAGAACCUCAGGCUUUCUAAGUGUGAGGGAUUUGUAAAUUAAGCUACUCUGUUACUGUCAGAAUUAAUAUGUGGAUAGAAAUCUAUGUUUUCAAGGCUCUUACAGCAUUUUUUUUGUAUCCCUUCUUUAUUUUUAAAAGUAGUUUUAUGUUAUUUUUGUACUAUUAACAUUCUACACUUUUGACAUUUCUGCCCCCUCACUACCGACACCGAACAAUAGAACUGCUUCAAUUAAGAAACAGAACAUCAGCCCCUGGCAUCUUAUUCUGUUGUUCCAUCUUUUUUGCUAGGGAGAAUUCAUUUGUUUCUUAAUUAAGAAAAACACCAAUAGCAUGAAAAAUCUGCUUAUGGUACCUGAAUGGUAAUUAGGCAAAAGGUAAAAAAGAAACAUGCACAUACAUUCCAAUAGCAGCCAAAAUGAACUUGAGCUGAUAAAAAUGAACUAAACUACCCUUGCAUAAAUGGAGGCUGAGAGAAGUGUACAGUCAUUAUGGCUAAGACAAUAUGCAAACUAUCUUCAAAGAAAUCAAAUUGCUAGAGUGUUUUCAUUUGCAUGUAUUAACUAUUAACAUAAUGAGGAGAAGUGACAUUGGACCCGGAUUGUGUGUCUGUUCGGAUUGAUAACUCUACUGCAUCUGCAAACAGAUGCCCAAAAAUCAUGCUAGUAGUUAGAUCAGAGUUGAACUCUGCAAAGUGGGCUAAAAUGAAACCUAGAGCUUGACGAACCUGCUGAGUUCCUGAAUGGUUGACAUCUCUCAUUCACAUUCUGGGUCGUUUUCUCUUUCCCUUUCUGUCUGUCUGUCUGUCUCUCUCCCACCCCUCCUCCCCUUUAUUUAUUUUUUAAGUCAAUAAUAAUACUUCAGUGUGAAUUCUUAUUUGAAACAUCUUGGUUUUCCCCAGCACAACUUUUCACGGUCUAACAACGGAUGUUAUAAAGGAGAUCUUAAAGAACCAUAGGAUUAACUUAAGCUCUAUGACAGGAUUUGAAAAUUUAGGUUUUUUGUUUAUUUAUUCCCAGCACAUGUAAGUCUAAGAAUAAAGGAAACUGACAUAUAUUGAGCUCCUCUUAUGUACCAUGCUUUGUACAAAGUGUUUUUUCUUAGAAAAGCGGAAAGAGUCAUUGAGAAAGAUGAAGGACAUGUGGCAAUUGAGAGACUUCUCUAGCUUUUUGGGUAACCUGAAAGAACAAUCCUUGAACCUCUGGGUCUUAAUUCAUUCUCAUCUGUGAAAUGGGGUGAUGUGACUACACUGGUCUUUCCCAGUCUAAAAAUCUUUGAGGCUAGUAGGUAAUUACAGUGUCCUAAAAGCUCAAGAGAAAUUGGAAAGUCAUCACUCAGAAACCUGCCCAGAACAACUAAUAUGUUUUAUUUCCUGUGAGUCUUGGGAUUUAUCACAUAGUGGGAUGACAUUUUCUAAUCCAUGUUGAUGAGAAACUCUGACAACUAUAUAAAUCUUUGAAUAAUUAUAAGAAGACAAAGCCAAAAUAUAUUUCUUGAUUUGAGAAUUAAUAUUAUGAUAUUCCUCAAGUCAGAAUAUAGCUUGCUUUGGGCGCCUGGGUGGCUCAGUCGUUAAGCGUCUGCCUUCGGCUCAGGUCAUGAUCCCGGGGUCCUGGGAUCGAGUCCCAAUCGGGCUCCCUGCUCUGUGGGAAGCCUGCUUCUCCCUCUCCCACUCCCCCUGCUUGUAUUCCUGCUCUCGCUAUGUUUCUCUCUGUCAAAAAAAUAAAAUAAAAUCUUUAAAAAAAAAAAAGAAUAUAGCUUGCUUUAAAAUCCAUAAAUCCAUUUAAUGUUGUAAUUUUUCUUUUUCUGAAAAACUUACUGUUGGGUCUUACAAAUGAUGGAGGCUGCUAAUUAAGAAAUUCUAUAUCAUUUCUUUUCUGCAGUUUUGUUUAUUCUAUAAACAAAUAUGUAUUGUGAUCUUUCUCUGAGUCUUGUUGGCACUGUUUUAUGUAUGGAGGUCAGUCGUGCCCUAGGAAGGUAAGUUCUCUGCUCUCUUCGAGUUUAUAUUCUAAAAGUGGGCAACAGGCAAUAAAAACAGUAAUUCAGUCAAUGCACAAGGUAGUUUCAGAUUGGGAUAAAUGUAUGAGGAAAACCAAAUAGGAUAAUGUGGCCAAGAGUGACUGUUGGGAUCCUUAAAUGAUGUUGGUCAAAAAUUUCUUAAGCUUGGUGCAAUUGAUGAGGAGCAAGAAAAUUAAUAUUUCCUUGUAAAUUGUUGGGAACCACUCUCAAGGAUGAGGGGACAAAUGUUUCCCAGAGACUGUGAUCCACCUCUGGCCCCAACAGCCCAACUGAAAGUCGUUACCUUUUUGAAUAGUGUGGAGGCCAGAAAAACAUGUUGGAGACCAUUAGAUUUUAUUGAACAAAGUUUUGAGGAGAAAUGUGUCAGAAAUGGAGUUAGGUUCUAGGGAUAAUGGAGUUAAUAAGGCAGACAUAGAACACACCCUCAUGAGGCUUUUACUCUAGGGGAGAUACAAUGCCUUAGGAGUUUUCAGACAUGCUUGUUUACAUUGUAUUUACAUGAAUAUUUUCAACAAAUGUGGAAUAAUUAGUCACAUUAAUAAUUACAUUAUUCUGUCAAUAUUAUGGGAAGUAGUUUCUAUUACAAUAUAUUGUAUGAAUAUAUGUAACAUUAACACAGUUAAUAUGUCCUCAUUAUAUAUAUGUGUGUGUGUGUGUGUGUGUGUAUAUAUGUAUAUAUAUAUAUAUUUUUUCUGAAUGGAUAUUGAUUGGUGACUGAUUAGAUUAAGUGGCAAUCCUUGGAAAUUUUGUUAUUGACCAUUAUCACUACUGUUAGAGUACCAGCUGUGAAUUUUUUAGGUUUGAAGUCAUGUUUGAAGUCAAGUUUUAAUUCCAAUUUAAUUCUCUUUUGCAUAACAUGCAUCACUGCUUAAUACAAGUGGACGUGUGUGACCACAGAACCCUGUAGAGCUCCUUAGGAGCUCCUUGGGACCGUGAGGCAUUGGCAACAUUUUGAAGCAUUACCCUUUGGUUCUUCAGGCGAAAGAUUCACUAGGCGUUUGGGGGAAGAAUUUCUUUACUGGUUGUUCAACUGGAGAUGGCUUAAUGAAAUGGCUUAGGCAUUUGCCAGUGUCAGUAAAUGUACUCCUCUCCUCGGGGAGAACAUGGGGGAAAACACCCAAACUAUGGAUGCAUAAAGAGCUUUAUGCUUUGGAAGAUUUCAAAUAAAUGUCUUCUCGGGUAGGAGUAGAUGAGUUGACAGUACUCUUUGAAGACAUCUUCACACUUAAUGAUACCUUAUUGUCUGUUUUCAUGAAUAUGCAUGUUAUAAAGAAAUCUGUUUCAUAUUUAAGUGAUAAGUUAACCUUUCUGCCACAUAUAUUUAUUAUAAUGUCAAAAUCUCCUUUGAGAAAGUCAGGUUGAUGAUCUAUGUUGAAUCAUUCAUUCACAUUCAACCUAAAGGGGUUAAGAGGUGGGAGCAGGUAUUGUCAUAUUCUCUUAGAAACUAUCUAAGAAUUAGGAAGCACAGUUGCUCCAGGAAAACUCUGGAAGAACAUGUGUCUAGAAAGAAGCACAAGCUGAGUACAGAUGGAUAACUUGAAAAAAGGAAAAGACACAAAGCUGAAUUCAAGAAAAAUGUUUGAGACAUUUAGAUACUAAUAAUGGAGCAUUAAUAUUUUCAUCUGGACUAGCCUGUCUACUUAACGAAAAUAAAAUGAAUAAGAGAGCCACAGGGAAAAAGGCUGGAAAACUCCUUACAGAGGAAUAUAAGUUCUUCUAUUUUAUCUUUUAUUUAGGUCAAACUCACAACAAAAAUCCCUUAAACAAUCCCUCCCACCCCCCAGCAAAGAACUUGCUUUCUCUUUAUCAGUUGCACUUGUGUUGAUUCUAUUUGAAAGAGAAACAACCAAUUCAGACUCAUUGUUACAAACUAUCAUUUAUUUUUCUGGAUAUGAAAACUGUAAAUGUGGAGUAAUAUAUCUCUGGGUUUCUUAUAAUCUCUACCAGUGCCUCUCAUGCCUAAACUGCUGGGUCUGGUACAUGAACCAAUAAAAAUAUAUCACUGAUUUUUCUGGAGACAGACUCAAGUGCUGAAGGUGGAGAGGGACUGACUUAAUACAUGCCCGAAAUUUUUGAAUUCUUUUUGUUUAAAUGGGUUUCACUAUGUCUCUUAAAGGAAGCAUCAACUUUCAAAACUAUGCAGGCUUGAAUGAUGUUCUAAAACUGUUGGUGACAUUUAAUAACAUCCUGAAUUUUGGCUAAAAAAAGUCAACUAUAGAACAAGAAGAGGGAACCAUAUAUGCUACCAAAAUUAAAACUUCAGAGGUAUUUCAGUUAAUUGUCGGUCUUUACUGGGAGUCUGGAAUGAUUGUGCAGUGUUCGAUAUUUAACAAGGAGUCCUGCUCUGCUUUAUACUAGUCAGUCAAGUUCAGGGUAUUAUACUGAAUGUCCAUGCCGUUCUUAAAACUCAGCUAUGUCUGGAGGAUGUUAACAGCCAGGCAAUAGCUGAAGGAAUUGGAGAUAUUUAACAGGAAAAGAAAAAUACAGGUUUCAUUUGAGAGUUAUGUUCAGAUAAUUGAGGAACUCACAUAGAAAAGGAAUUAGCUUUCUUUGUAGCUCAGAAGAAAUCACUUCCAAGGGCAUUCUGGGUCUGCUUUCCACAUAUGGGUUGAUUUGGGUUCUGCAUCAGCAGAACAGUUAGAACUAUUCAAAAUGGAAUGGCCUUCAUUGAAGGGUAGAGAGCGUCUCUGGAAGAAAGCAAGUAAAGGUUUGCCUGGAUAAUCGCUUGCUACAUUUAUUAUUUAAUGGAUAUUUGGAAGGUAGUGGGUGAUGGGGAUUGAGGAGUUAAGGGGCAAGACAACAGUAGAUUCUUAGGUGAUUUCAUGUUCUAGAUGGGCCUUAGAGUGUUUUGAGUCUCUCAGGUCAAUUCUAAAAGCAUUUCAUUGGUAUCUAUAGAUGAAAGUCCUCAUUAUCAUUGUUAUAUUAUCAGUAACAGUCAACUUUUAUGGAAUCUAGACAAGCUCAAGGUGUCAGGACCCUGGCUAGCUGAGGCCCUUUUUAUGGCUUUGGGAGGGGCUCAAGCAGUGUGUUCAGGUAAUCUGUUUUUAUAAAAAUUUAAAAAUCAAGCUAUUUUAACUAUAACUGAUUAAGACUGCUAAAUCAUUUCUCUUUAACUUUCCUUCUGUCAUACUUCAAAACAGCUGCAGUCAUAAUUGGGAUCAUUGUAAGGGGAAGUUGAGCUGGAAAGAUAAUGGUCAUAUUUUUAAUAUUUGCAAUUUACUAAGAUUUCUCUUUCUAAAUAAAUAUUUGCUUUCAUACAUACAUUUUAUUUGCAAUUUUGUAUCCUUUCACGGAGAGGCCACCCCCCCCCCAACUGUAUAAGCUUCAGAUCUUCCAGUUCCUGGAUCUGUUUCUCUUUGCCCCUUUUAUAUGUGGUAUAAUUCUAAGUGCCACAAAUAGAAAGGUGCAUAAGCCAUUGUCCUUCAUACCAAGUUAUGCACAAGUUAUGUAGUGGAGGAAUUUGAUGAUUUUAUUAUGGGUUCAACUAUCUAUUUGAAGAAAUAGUUAAUGCUGAUAUAAAAUAUGUAUUAGUAUUCAAUUAAGUAUGAUUAUUCUUUUUUUUUUUGAGAGAGAGAGAGACAGAGAGACAGAGGCGGGGAGGGGCAGAGGAAGAGGGAGAGUCUCAAGCAGACUUGGCUCUGAGCACAGAGCCCAAUGUGGGGCUCGAUCUCAUUACCCCGAGAUCACGACCUGGACUGAAAUGCAGAGUGGGACACCGAACUGACUGCGCCACACAGACGCCCCUGAUUAUUCUUUUAACAUUAAAAUUUCAAUUUACUGAUCGUGAAUCAAAAGCCUGUAUUGAACAUAGAACUUGUAGUCAUUGAUGUCCAUAAAAACCUAUUUUCUCAAAGCUUGUGAGAUUUAGCUUAGGGUUGGCAUAGUCUUACACACUUAACACAUUACUUUUUUUAUAGAAAGUUAAUAAGAUACAUCCAUAAACCUUACUGGAAAAAAGAAGCGUAUUUAUUAUGAGAUGUGUGAAGGUCUCAGCUCAGAACCCUGUCUCUCCUGUCUCCAAGAGGUUAUAUUUCGAAAGGAUGAGUAAUGUUGUAACAUUUAGUAGUAGGCUGUAGGUAUGGGGAAGAGGAAUGCUGUACCCAACCAGCAGUGACAGGAUCCCAAAGGUGGCCUGUGACCUACUUUUACUUCUUUCGUGGCAUGGCAUCUGUCAGAGUGCUUUGCCCUGUUGCAUAGUUAGUCUGAGCAAUUUCCAUUCCAUUGUGUUCUCUGUUACAGUUUAUGCUUUAUCCCCCUUCCGGCUUAUUCAAGUGCUUAAAUUUAAAAUUAGUAGCUUGUCUUUAUCAUUCACGUUUGGAUUGGGAAAACAUACUACAGCCGUCGGACAUGUUUACCAUAUUAAAAAUAAUAACAAAGAAAACAAAAAUGAUAGAGAAAAAUAACACACUAAGGGUUAUGUUUAAGUCACAGGAGAUCCUGAUAAAUUAUCUCAAUUCAGUGUUCUUAAACUACAUUUCUCAAAUGCCCUUAUCCCAAUCUUGAGAACACUGAGAAGUCUGUGUGUGUGUGUGUGUGUGUGUGUGUGUGUGUAAUAUUUGAAGUAUUGGGGCAGGAUCAAUUGAUGGAUGUAAAUUCUACUCAUUAGUCUUUCUUUCCUUAUAAAUUUUGUUAGGUUUUUGAGACUCUCACAGGCCUCAUCAUAGUCUGCGUGGAUAGAUGAAUAAUCAUAUAGUAAGGACCAAGAAAACAGUAACAACAAAGCAUAGUAUUUUAUAUAUAUAUAUGUACAUAUAUAUGUGUGUGUAUAUAUGUAUGUAUGUACAUAUAUAUAUAUACAAACACACAUAUGUAUGUAUACACAUAUAUAAUGCUGAAUAAUCCAUGCUUUACAUGUUUAUAUUUUCUUUUUUAAUGAAGGCAUUUGUAUAAGAAGCCAGGAAUUUAAUUUAAUUUACCAUCUUAUGAUUUGAAUUGCUUUUCCAGGAGUUAAGGGUUCUCUGUUAUCUCUGGAGUGUCCGAUUAAAUGACACGCAUCAGAUUUUCGUCAUGGCUAUAGCUGUGACCAAAAUGCCGAUGUGUUUCCUUAUGGCUUUUUCUAUAUAAGCAGAGUGAAAGGAAAAAUUUAGACUAUUGUUUGUAUUAUUCAGUUUUCCAAGUUAUUUCUUGUUUUUAUAGAAGAAAUGUUUCUUAUUCCAGUUAAAACAACCAGAAAGGAUAUUAAUGGUUAAUGUGUGCAGUGAUCAUGUGAAACUCGGGGACUGGAAUUUACCAUUGAUGUUUUUUGCUAACUCCUGUUUGCUUCUUUUCGAGGGUCAGGUGAUGGGGCCUGUACAACAGUAAACCAAUAAAGGUCCUGGUAGAUGUUCCAUAUAGUAAUAAUCCAUUUAAGAAUAGGCAAUCAGAGUCCCCUUUGUAAUUAUGUAAAAAGAUGACUGGGAUUUGGAAUUUCAUUUAUAAGUUUGAAAUCUGGAAUUGGUUGAUUUUAUUUGCAAACAAUUAUGAGGUUGAACAGCACACAUUCUACUUGAUCCUGUGUAGUGAAUUCUCACAUGAUCAGCAUAGAUAAUGGAAUAUUUCCUUUCCUACUUAAAAAGCAUUUUCAAAAGGUUUGUAAAUAUUUGUUUCUCAGGGAUCCAUUUAUCUUCUUCCUCUGUUCCAAAAGAACUAUUGCAGGGUUACAGAAAAAGAUGAUAAAUGAGCCCAAGGAGUCUGGGUUUAAACUGUCCUACUAUAAGAUUGUACUAUUAUUUAGUAGACAUGCAAAAUCUUUGAGCACAUUAAUAUUAACUGAUUAGGUACUGGAAUUUUUUUUUAAUGCCAGAAUUUUGAAAUGAGGAUAAGUCAGUCAUGGAGCUAUUCUGGCUUUUAUUUACCUGUAGUUAGAUCCAUAUGAAAAUUCAAUAUAACCAGACAGAAAAAUAGCUGGAAGACAUUCCUUUUCAAAGGAAUGGCCUGGACUUAAGCUGCUCAAUUCCCAUUCAGUUCUGAAGGCCUGAGUAAUAUGGUCUGUCAUUGUAUACAAACCUUGUAACAAAGAAUGUGACAACAAAACCUAUCUGCUCUUAGUUAUCCUAGUACACAAUACUAGGUAAGACCUGGAAUGAACCAUUGGAUAUUUUGACUAAUUUAACUUAACUGAUGGUUAUCCAGAAAUUCUGUUUUAUUACAACCUUUACUGAAAUUCUCAGUGAAGAGUUUAUGCCUCGUGUAAGGUGAACAUAAUGAAACUUAGGUAAUUUAAGACCUUCUAGAAACUCUGCAUUAUCAUUCUAAAUGAUGAAGCUCAUUACAUAUAUUGCAUAACUCCAGAGAUGGAGAUAUAGAAGAUGUAGAAGUCUGUAUUUGGUGUGUACUGAUCCCAAUGUUUUACAAAAACAAUAUAAACAAAAAAUACCUAUCACAAUACAUUGGUUUUUCCAUUUUCUAUAUUUUCAUGUUUAUAUAUAUAUAGUCAUAAUAUAGAUAUAAUUUUAUUGUGCUUAGAAGAAGUAUUUUCCAUAUUUUUACAUGGUCUUACUGAUUUUCAUUUUGCGUUUCUGCUCUGUUGUCUCUCAGCCGAUUUACUACAAUUUGUCUAAAUAUUCUGUUUUAAGCUAUUUCGCUAGUAUCCAAUUUUUGUAACUGUUACUGCAAUGACUAAAUUAAUGCAUAUAGUCAUUUGCUUCUAGGUUUUUCUCAAAGAAUAGAUUUCAAUUAGUAAGAUUAUUGGAUUAAGGGAUGUAUACAUUUUAGCAGGUUAGGGUGCAGAAGGAAAGGAUAAAGAAAACAAUUAUAGCUUUGGAACUAGACUUUUAGAGUUUCUACAUUUUUGGAAAUUCUAUAAUUCAUUGAUUUUGGAAUAUCAGUGUUAAGUUUUUGGGCAGGGAUCAAACAAUCCAACAAUUUGGUAUCAUCGAACAAUAAUUACAAAAGCUGAAGGCAGGCAGCCCAUCUGGGAGUCUGUUAAAGCAAUCGGGUGGGUAAUAGUGAUUUCCUCGGUUGGAGGUGUGUGUUGAAAAUGAAAAGAAACAUGACAAUCUACUCCUCAUUGACCAUUUAUUCUGAAUGCUGUAGCACAAAAAGGAGACAGAAAGUUCCACUCAAAAGUUUAUGAAAUACUUGAGUAAUAAAAAUAUUCAGAGAAGAAGAAUCAGAUAAAUAGAGUCGGGUAGAUUUAGAUAGGAAGGCUUUGUAUUGCCUGAACCUUGAGCUGAAAGCUAAAGAAAAUGGAAGGUUUUUGGUAGCAAGAGGAAAGGAUGGCUUUCUCAAGGUAAGGGGGGGAACAAAGAAAAAGUAAACAAAUUCUAAUUUCUUUUGGGCACUGAACAAAUGAAUGGGUUUUUAUCAUAAUAGAUAUUUUAGCAUAUUAUCAUAGUGUUUAUUUGUUGACUUUUGGAGGAUAUGAAAUUGAGUUAUAUUUUCCCUGGUGUAAGAAUCACUAUAUUCUAUUUUAUUUCAAAGUCAUAAAAUGUACAUUGAAUUUAACUGGAAUAUUUAGGUACAAAUUCAGUUUUGUAUUUAAAGAUCCUGACUCACACUCCUUUCAUCAGAAUCUGGGUUACCCUGAAAUUGGGUUCACUAUCUUUAUAUAUGUAAUGAUUAAAUGUGGCUCACAAUAAUAUUGGUGAUUGAAAGUGUAAAUAAGUGAAAUCUGGACUAUUUACUGGGAUAGAAAUAUUUCUUUAUUUUCCAAACCAAAUAUUUGUCUCCUUUAAAAUUUAUUUUCAAAAUUCACGGUGUGAAAAGAUAGGUGACCAUUUUUCCCUUUGGAUAAAAUGGUUCAAUUUUAUAUAAAAGCAAAACUAAUAGUAUUCAAUUAAUGGAGAAAUUGUUUAGCCAAAAUGAUCACCAUUUCCCUAGAAUCCAGCAGCUUCAGCAUUCCCUUGAAAACUUGUUAGAAAUGCAAACUCCUGAAUUCUACUCCAGGUUUACUGGUCCAUAACCUUGAGGGAGGGGCCCAGGAAUCUGGGUUUUAACAAGCGCUUUGGGUGGUUCUUAUGUGUGCUUAAGUGAAGAAGUCUGCUAGAUUAGUUUUUUUUUUUUUUUAAUCUAGACUAAUUGUGGCCAACUGAUGCCUAAUCUCUUAAACUUUAUGCAUCUCAAGUUUGGGACCAAGUUUUGGGUGCAUGAUGGAAAGUGUUGUGCUGAUUUUGUACAUUGUUGGAUGUUUUAAACGUUGUUUCAUAAGAUGACAUUUUAAUUUUGUGUCCAUACUGGAAGCUUAGUUUUUAACAUGCCUAACUAAAAUAUGCUUGCUUCUUUUAUUGCUUUAAAUUGUGUAUUUUAAUUUAAUUUCAUAGUUUGAAUUCAUGUGCUUUAAAAUGUAUAUUUUCGGGGCACCUGGGUGGCUCAGUUGUUAAGCGUCUGCCUUCGGCUCAGGUCAUGAUCCCAGGGUCCUGGGAUCGAGCCCGCAUGGGGCUCCCUGCUCUGCGGGAAGCCUGCUUCUCCCUCUCCCACUCCCCCUACUUACGUUCCUGCUCUCGCUGUGUCUGUCUCUGUCAAAUAAAUAAAUAAAAUCUUAAAAAAAAAAACCAAAACUUAAAAAACAAACAAAUAAAUAAAUAAAUAAAAUGUAUAUUUUCUACAUCUCAAUUAUAAUUUAUAUAAUUACUAGGACAUAGUUUUUUUAAACCCCCUUCAGUGAAUUCUGUUAAAGAUAAUUAGUAGGAUUUAUGAUAUUGGCAAUACAUGAGCCCACAUCAUUUCAACACUAAGGAAGAACAUGACUUUGAUUUGUAAACAAGUCCAGGCAUUACUCCUUUUUUUUUUUUUUUUUUGCGUUUUGUCUUCCAGUUCUUUGGAAGUGACUUUAAAAAACAUCCAAAGUUCCCAUUUCACUGUCUUUCUUUUCUCUUUCUGUUCCCUUUCAUUUUCUGGAUAUAUUAGUGUGGUUGAGCAGAUGAGAAUAAAGUCAGGAUUUGCUUUUUAGUUACCUUUUCUUAGACCGUCUCCAUAAAUGUUGGUAUAAAAACACAGCCCAAAUUGUGCUUAAGAUUUAGUCCUGCACUGUUACAGAAUGCUUUUUUGCUUAUUGAGAAGAAAAUCUUUGGAUGUUAAUAUUUAGACCUUAUUUAUCUGUCUGCUUGCUUACAGACCCAUCUACUGCCUACCUACUUGCCUACCUUAUUUAUCUCUACCAGUCAGUUAUAGUUAGGGCAACUCAUACAGAUUAUUUUGCUCUGGAGAAAAUCAUUCGUGUAUCAUAAUGUAAAAAUAAGCCAUAUGUACUACAUACAGUUUGAGCUAAAUAUACAGUUUGGGAACAUAAUUUACUUACCUGGGGAUAUAAAGUAGGCAUUCAUUGGGUUCAUGGUUUGAAUCAUGUUACUAGCUAAGCCAACAUGUAAGUCUUCAAACAUGAUUAAUAAUCUUUUACCUUCCUAACUCUGGCCUUUCUCAAGCUGUGUUUUUGGACUAUCAAAAUUCUUCUUUUCUAAUUCUUCUGAAGGGACUCCUCUCUGUACUGUCAUAAUGCACAGUGUGCGUGCCUCCCUUGCAGAAAUCCAUCUGGACUCUGUUCAAGUGGUACUCUAGUAGAGAGGUCUUCCCUGACCACCCCAUAGAAGAUAUGUCUCCUUCCUUUGUCAGUGGUUGUCACCCUACUCUGCUUUAUUUUUCUUCAAAGCAUUUAUCAUCACCUGAAAUAAGUACUCCAUGCAGGUAAGAACUUUUGUUUGUUGAGUUGUUUUAAACAAUCUACGCCCAGAAUCCUGCACAGAUUCCUGACACCAGAAAUUUUCUAGGAUUAAAUUUUCUUUCUUCCUCUUCUGGAGUGUAAGUCCUGUUAGAGCUUGAAUUCUGUCGAUUUUAUUAUGUCUCCAGUGCUGAGUACAGUGCUAAGCAAUAGUUACCAGUCAAAGUAAUUGGUGGAUGGAUACAUAUAUAAGUGGAUAGAAGUAGAACCAUAUUUUAAUGGGCUAAUGCAUUUGUGUUUCUCAUUUGCAUCUUACGAGUCUUCAUAUUAAAGUCUUACAUUAAGAAUUCCUAUGUUAGCUCUCUUCAUAUUGCCCUUUAGGUGUUUAUUUAAAAUUUUCAAAAAGAAUUGGAGUUUUGGGCGCCUGGGUGGCUCAGUUGGUUAAACGACUGCCUUCGGCUCAGGUCAUGAUCCUGGAGUGCCGGGAUCGAGUCCUGCAUCGGGCUCCUUGCUCGGCAGGGAGUCUGCUUCUCCCUCUGAUCCUGCCCCCUCUUGUGCUCUCCCUCUCUCUCUCUCAAAUAAAUAAAAAAAUAAACAAAAAAAAUCUUUAAAAAAAAAGAAUUGGAGUUUUUAUCAAGCACUAAAUUUUAAAAAUUGUUCAUUUUCAGUUUCUAGUAUGAAUUUCAUUUGAAUUUUUCAUGUAUUUUUAAAGCAUCAAUAAACUGUGACUUAAUUAUACAGGUAUCCUACAGAUUUGGUUUGUGACAGUAGUCUAAUGAGUAUAAUCACCCACUUCCUGGACCAUUGUUGUCCAGAUGUAGCUGUACUUUAAGCCAACAAAUCUAAAAAAGCAAACCUCAGUGGAGGGCUCUCAUGAUAGGCUGGUUCAAGAUGUGGCAAACCACUUACGAUGCUAACUUUUUUACGUGAAGAAAUAUGAUUAAGAUACGUUAAAUGGAAAUCUAUACAAAACCAGUGAAAUUGUUAAAAUAUUCAAAUAUGCCAUACUGUAACAAGAAACCACUGCAAUGCACUGAAAUCAGCAGUAAAACAGCUGUGUUUUAAAGGACAGUACUUUGAAUGUCACUUGACAAUUUGCUUUCAAUUAGAAGUAAUUUACAGGAAGAUGCCCACAAGCUAAUCUUUACAGGAUAAUUAAGUUCCAUUUUCUUUACUUUUAAUUAAAAAGCAGAAAAGAUUUAGCUGAUCCAUAAAAAAUGUUCUGUUUAAACAUUCAUCAGACUUCACACUCUUUUUUUGUUAUUUGUUGUAGCAGAUGUUAUCAAAAGUGCAGUCUGCUCUGUUUUAAACCCUGAGCAUUUGGAAAGUGAAACAUGAGUUGCAGUAGGCAUGUACUGGUGAGGUAUGAUCAUUUAACAUCUGUAUGUUCAAAGAGGAUAUAACAGAUACUGCUGUUCCAUUCCUUAAUUAUGUUCUGUCUGAUGCUUUUAAUUGUACUACAAAACUGCAUACAUUAAAAUGAGAAGCAAUGCAACUAUCAAUUUUGAACAUUUAUACAUAGUAGGCUGAUACCUAAAAAGCCCCCUUUACUUCAGAUGUCUUAAAGUAUCUCUCGAUUCAGAAGUAACACGUUUUUUAUUGUAAUUUUAAUAAUAUAAAAUGUGACACUGAGUAUUUUAACAUAAGAAUUUACUCACUGAAAGAUUUAAUUCUAAAGCCAUUUAAAACUUUACUCUCUGGUUUUUAGUGUGGUUUUUAGCAUCACUGCUGUUUUUAUUUGGCAAAAUAAAAUAUAUUGCCAAAGACAUUUGGAGCUUUGAUUUUAUAACUUACUAUUGGACGGUACUAAUUUUUUAAGCUGAUGAGAGCUGAAUAGAUCGUGAUUUGUCAUGUUAUUCUCACCUCAGACUAUGCUAAGGAAUUGCACCACAAUUUCUUCAGGCAAGAAUUAUUUAGUCCAGUACUAUGGUAUUUUUUAAAACUUUUUUUGGCUAUUUAAUUAAUCUGUUCGUGUUGAUAAUAGCUUUAUUUUUUAGAAUCUAAAAGAUUUCCAUAAUUUGAAAAAAAAAAAGUUGAGUCACUAUAGAGCCAUAUACAUAAAAUUUUUAUAGCAGUAAUUCCAUUCACUAUGCCUUUUGUCAAAUGAGCUUGAUUUUCAAUCUUCUGACCAGUGAGUACCUAAAGUUCAAAGAUCCUGUUGGAGUUACCUAUUUUUACUUACUUUUAUUUUCUUAUUUUAUUUCCCUCUGUUUGAAGGAAAACUACAAAUGACAAGACAGGUUGCUCACAAACCCAUUCAUUUAUUUGCUUUUGCCAUUUAGAUUUGUAUAUGUAGGGAAUGUGCCCGAAGGCACUUUGACCAAUAUAGUUUAGGAGACUGCAAAAUAAAGAAAUGCAAUUUAUUUCAGCAUAUAUUAUAAAUUUCAGGUAGGAGCUUAAUUAUAAUAAUCAGAAUGCAUUCAUUUAAAUGGAAUAUGUGUUUGAACAUGUAAAUGUCAUCAGGUUUUGUAAUGAACUGGUGAAAAUGUGUGCUUCUCUUAUUGAAAGGAUAACACUGGAAAAAGAUUAAGCAUGCCCUGUCUUCCUUCUUCCCUCUUUUCUCUUUGGUAAUCAACACCUGGUUUGAUUACAUCUUUUUGAACUCUGAAAGCUAUACUAUAAACUCUUUACAUAGAAGUUUUUAUGAAAGGGAAUUGUGGCAAGCAGUAGUUGAACUUUCCACUUUCAGGAGAAUUCCACCUUUUUUGUCAUCCUGUAAUUCAGACAUCCUUAGUUUUGUCAUUGUUCAGGAGAGUGCAGUGAUUUCCCUUUGGUGCUUGGUUUUCAAGUUUAUGGCUGCUUUUAGAAGGAUGGGACUGAUUCUUAUGUUUCGUGGUGCUUGGAGGAGUUAUUAACUGACCUUAGGUACGUGUACCUUGUCCAUUGCACCUAAUGCAUGGCUAGUACAUGAUUGGUUCUCAUUAAAUAUUUAUUAAAUGGCUGGUAGACAAUAAAAUUUAGACACAGCUCCAUUUGAUGCAGUGCACACAUUUUGUGAAUUCUCUUUCCCCUCCCAACCUCCCUCCUUCUCUUUCUUUCUCUCUCCCCUCCCUCCCUCCCUCCCUCCCUCCCUCCCUUCCUUCCUUCCUUCCUUCCUUCCUUCCUUCCUUCCUUCCUUCCUUCCUUCUCUCUAGGCCAUAAGGAACCUCUCCUCCAGCAAGGCAGUAUUAUCUUCCUAUACCCCAUCCCACAACAGCCAUUCACUUCCAGUCCCUGCUCCUUACCGUUGCUCAGGUAAUGCCCUGCCUCUCCCCCCUUCGUCAUCUAAAUCUUCCACACUGAAAAUGUCCAGUGGAAGUCUCACGUGUUCCAAGAAGCUUCCCAGUAUUCUUAUCCACAGUCAUUACUCUGUUCUAUAUUUCUUUUGCAAAAAUAGUGUCAGGCAUUUUGACACUUGUUUUCUAUAUUUUUUUUCUACAUAUAGGAUACCUUUGUCUCCCUGUGAUGAACUUAAGUGUUUUAAGAACAGAAAAAAAAAGAGUUCCUGUGCCCUUUUUGCUUUUUUUGUAAACCCUAAAUCUCAUAGCAGUCUGGUAAGCAGGUGGUAGGCAUUUAUUUCAUGUCUUGUUCGACUUUGAAAAACAAACUAUUAGAAAUUCAUAAGUAGCUGCAUACGUGUAUUGGGGAAAGUAUUGAAUAAUAGUUUCUCAUACAUUUAGAAUAAGCUUUUCCUUUCCCCCAAAGACUUGGGGGUUUUGUUUCAUGUUUGCUUCUAGAGUGAUUUUCUGCCACUUGGGAAAAAACAUAUUCUUUUAGAAAAUAAUUACCAUUAGCUUGAAGAUAGAGAUAAAUAAUCAGUUUUUAAGGACUAUCAUUUUAGUUCUCAAUAACUCGUUUUGGAGCUAAGGUGUUAGUGGAAGGAAGGACGCGUAAGUCAUCUGUCUCUUUACCCCUAGAGGGGCAGUGCCACCGCGCCUCUGCUGGUUACUGGGUUCAUCAGAGUCUUUGCAUAUUUGUAAUUACCCUUCCAUAAAUAGUUUGCAACUUGACCACAGCAUUUUGCCGCUCCGUUAGAAUGAGGCCCAAGGUCCAAGUUAAAAGCAAAAUCCUCAAUGAAUUUAACAAAAUUAAGCCAAGAGCUGUAGGUUAUAAGAGCAGAGCUAAUGGAUUCAGCUGUUCUUUACUUUCAUUUUAACCAACACAUUUUGCAUUCAUUUUCCAGAUGUGAGCCUCAUUUGAUUAAAAUGGAGUGAAACUAAUUUUGUGAAAGUUUUAUAUCACCCCUGGAGAUAACUGGAGAUAACCUAGUGUGUCACAAAACUAGAGCCGGCAAAUCAGCAUUUGCGGGGUCGGUUUCAGUAACUGCAUUGCAGAAGUAUUGCAAGACUACUUUUUAAGGCAUAUUGGUAAACCUUUGCUGGGGUUGUUCAUGUGACUCAGCUGUGACCAGAGCUGGAUUAUGAGGGGGGUCCUGGAAUUCAGAGGCGGCCAAUCCCAGAGCCGGAGACCGUAUAUGGCGAUGCUACUUUAAGUGUGGUUGGUUCAAGGACCAAAGCCAUCAGCAACACCUGGAAGCCGGUCAGCAAAACAAAUCCGUGGGCUCCACCCCAGACCUGCUAACCCAGAAGCUCUGGCUGGAGCUCAGCAAUCUAUGGAGUUAACACGCUCUCCAGGUAAACCUUAUAUAUGCUAAAGUCUAAGAGCUGCUGUGUGUGGAACCCUGGAGUUCAGCUCGAAUCAUUAUCAGACAAAUCAAUCUCUGUAUUUCAAUUGAACAAGCUGUAUCUAAUGAUUUCUGAUCUCUCACCCGUUGUCAUAAAAUGCAGACAAAUUGAAUCAAGUUUUUUAAAGAUAUUGGUUAUUUCACAAUUUUCAUCUGUAUUUGAAGUGUAUUCUGAACGGAUUCAUCUGAACUGAUUAAAAUGCAAACAAAAGAGCCAGAUCACUCUGAUAAGCAAUGGAAAUUCCACAGUCUUUUCUCAGAGCACAUGUGUGCUUUAUUCAGCUUUGUGUCCUUCCCACCUAGCAGAGAACAAAAGCAACUGUAGUGCAACCUUGUUCUGGCCCUGUCUUGGCAUUUAGGUUUGUUUCAUUUUGGCACAUGGCUGUGUUCUUUCAUCAUACAGGAAACUAUCUGCCGAAUCAGUCAAAUCUCAGAUUCCUUGAACUUCUUGAUCAGGCUGAUGUUUUCCUAAUGAACAGAGGUUGCUGAUCUCCAUACCAAAGAAUUAAUUGUUUUUACCUAUUGAGGUGCUAAGUAAUAAGUCACAUGGAGUGCUGUAUUAUAUUAGCUAUAUUAUAACUAAUAUAGGACUUGUAAAAUAACUUGACCACUUCUUGAGAUCUUCAAGUUUUCAUAGUUUGCUAUGUAAAUGUGCUGGCCAUAUAUUGAUCUCUCUAGCAGUAUCACAUAAAUAAGAUCAUUAAUUAGUAUCAUUUAAAAAUAUAGAUUACAGCAGCUCUCCGUCUUCUCUGCCCCGGGAGCAGCGCUGCUCUCACGGGCCCUCAGCCCCUGAAAAUGUCUGCUGGUGCAAAGGUGGUCUCCACGCCCUUCUCGGUCAGGAGCCCCUCUCAGCUGCUGAGCCCAUCACAGGCCGCAGUGAUGCUAAACCCUCCGGAGACGCUGACAGAUGAGAGCCUCAGCAGCUUGGCAGCCCCUUGUCCCCCGACCUCACUUAUUCCUAACCACGGCUUCUGAACCAGCACCGUUUCACGGGACAUGGACACAGGCUCCAAGCGCACUGGGGCUGGGCUGCCAUGGUAGGGGUGGCUGGCUCUGGGGCUGGAAGCGGGGCCGUGUUUGGGAGCCUCAUCAUCCCUUAUGGCAGGAGCCCUUCCCUGAAGCAACAGCUCUUCUCCUGCGCCAUUCUGGGCUUUGCCCUCUCCGACGCCAGGGGGCUCUUGUGCCUGCUGGUGGCCUUUCUCAUCCUCUUCGCCAUGGGAAGGAGCCCUCUCCACCUCCCAUAGGUCCUUCUCCCGUGUCUCAUCUGCCCUGUAUGUUCAUUUUCCUCUACCUCCCCAGGCGGUAUAGGAACCAACCCCAGGGUUGGCUCCGGGUUUGACAGAGAGAAGACAAAUACUAUAUUAAUAAGAAAAAAUAUGGAGAUGACGUCAACUCUUGUAGUUAUAUAAAUUCUUUCUGAAAAUGAACUUUCAUAAUAAUGCUUUAUAGAAAUUGCAAGCUUGACUAUAAUCGAUUCUGUAUAUAUAUGUAUGUGUGUGUAUAAUAUUCAUGGAAAUUCUACAGUAUGUUACAGAGUAUAUGAAGAUAAUUUUUGGCUUUGCCAAUUUAGUGUGGCUUAGAGCUAAGACUCAGUUACAACUUUCAAGGCAUCUAGAAGUAAAAUCAUAUUGGAUAUGAAUUGUUAAGCGUUUAUUUAGGUAGAGGUAGAAUUUGCCCUACCAAAAGCUUUUCUCUACCUUCUUAGGUUGUGUAAUAUUGUGGGGUAACUAUAACUAUUGUUAUACUGGAUCUGGGUUGACUGAUCUUUAUAUUGGUGCUACUAAGUCUGUAUUUUACAUCUAACUGAUUGUAUUGAAUUUGUGUUAUGUCUGAUACCUGCUGAAAAGUUAUAAUGCCUUGCAGGGUUAUUACUAUUAGUGAUACAGAGAUGGUGUGAUGAUAGCAGGACUUGAUUUUAUCAUGCCUAGGUUUUUGUUACAUUCUGUUUAUUAUAUUCAUUUAUUUUAUCUUUUUGAUAUUAUUUAAAUGCCUGUUUAUAUCAUAAUGCUAGACUCUUGGAGCGUGGAGAAGGCAAACUAUGUAAGUAAGACACAGGUUUUUUGUUUUUUGUUUUUUGUUUUUCUUCAAAAGGGUCUUCCUCUGUGAGUGAAUCAAUGUGUGGGAAGACUGUGUAUGUCCCAAUGUGGAAGUAGCUGUUUUCGUUAACCCAUUUAUAAUAUUGGCAUCUUGUGCCAUUAAGCUUAAAUUUGAUACAUUUUAUUGAUUGAAUCCCAGAAUUUUGGUGUAGAGUUUCCUGGGCUUAGGAGAGUGACCCUAGGUCUGGGGGUCACAAAUAAAAGUUUUGUUUUGCUUUGUUUCUUCUUGAUUUUAUUAUCCGACAGGAUUUCCAAAUUGAGCAGCUCUGUUUAAAGUGUUGGAAAGUGCUAAGACACCUACCAUGGGCAAAGGAACUCUUGUUUAGUAUUUUUCUCUUUGCUUGUUUAGUUUGUCAAGGGAUCUGUGAACGGGCUCAAGGUUGAAUGUGUAUUUCAGUUGUAUUUAUAUGUUCAAGGACUUUGAAAAUCAGGCUUCUUGGAUGUUACAUGUUUACUAAAAUAUCUCUUAGUAUGUAUUUAGGGCUUUGAUGAAAUUUUAAGUUAUUAUUCAAGUUAUUAUUCAUUUCAUCUGUGAUAUUGGUGGUGUCUUGCAUACAUAUUUUUCUUUGGCUUGACAAAUAUGUACAAAACAGGUUAAUUUGUCCAUUGUGUGUGGUCACACCCCCAAGUGUACCUUUGAAAAGAUCAUUUGAUACAGUGGCUCUAAGGUGGAAGCAUUGCUAAAUUAUUCGUUUUUAAAAUAUUUGUAUAACGUGGCUUUUUUGAACUUUACUUUUAUUUUUUUCAAUGAAGGAAGGAAUGAAGAAAACUACAUUUUUUGGGUGCCGAUCGUGUAGCAGGUAUUGUGACACAUGCUUUAAUUUAGGUUAUCUCAGAUUGCCCUCGCAAUGACACUCCAGCUUAGGCUCAGAGGAAUAAAGAGCAUGUCUGAGAUUCAAACCCAGCUCUGACUCCCAGGGCCACAGCAUUUCUACCCUGAUGUGCUGCCUCUUGCCAUAAGGCCAUGUGCUAAUAUUUGGUGGAAGGUGCAAUAAUAAAAGACAUUUCCAAAGGAGUGGAAAAGCCAAAUAUGUUUAGUGAAAACAGGACAUAGGGAAUUCUAAGGAGCUGUGUAGGCCCUCUGCUCUGAGCGUAUAGGAAGGAAGAUCCAUUGUCCCAAAUCAAUUUUUCCCUUCUCUAAUUUUCUCAAAAUUAAUUUAAAUAAUUGAUAGGUAGGUAUUUCUCAGUGUAUGCUUUAUAGCCUGUUUUUUCCACUUGCAUAUUCUGGAAAAUUGAGUUAAAAUCGGUUUUUUUUUGGUAAAAAAAAAAAAAAGAGAGGAGGAUAUGUUGUAGGCAAAAGAUAGGCAAAAUCAGUACCAAUUGCAUGCUGGUUUUAGCUUGAAUCCAGAAUUCUGAUACUAAAUGAAAAUAUCUAUUUGUAUACUAUUUAUUCAAAAGUUGGGGACACUUAAAAUGCGUUUAUUUACUGAUAUGUCUGAACUACAUUUUACUAAGACAAUCUUCAUGGUAUUCGUGGUGUGGGAAUAUUAUUCCCCAUAUUUAAGCCUCAUUUGAAGCUUUCUUACUCCAGGGUUGAAUAGAUGGUUGCUAGAUAAAGGCAUCCAUAAAAUAAUACUUGAGUGUAUUUAUAAAAAAUAGCUUUCCACUUUGGUUUGUAAGAUACACUUGUAAAUUUUUAUAAUGUUACAACAUAUUGUCCAGAUUGGUUGAUUGGGGGAGGGGAGAACUAAUGUAAUUCAGACAAGCAAUAAUUACUAGGUCAAGAAAUAGGGCAAUUAAAAAAUGAUUCAUGGCAAGUAGGAGUGAGACAUUUAUAUUCUGAAAAUUAAUUAUGGGACAUUUUAUUUAAAUUAUAAUCAGGAAGAAAAGUUCAGGGAAAAGAAAGAGGUUCAGGGAAAUUUUAUAUGUACUCAUCUUGAGUACAAAUUAGUAAAGAUCUUAGAUUCAACUAAUGUGUCAGAGUCCAUUAAAGAGACUGGAAAACCCUAUUUCACUGUGACUAAACUGCCUGAAAUUUUAACCUCCAAACUUAUGUAUAAUCAAAUGUAGAGAGUGUGUAUGUCUUGAUAAAUCUACAUAUAUAUCCAUGAUGUAAGAGUACAAAAGACGUGGAUACUUGAUUUUACAGGGUUGACGACCAUGUGUUCGUUGGCCAAAACAAGUGUGAGAGCUCUUAUAAAAUCCUCAGAUCUACAUAUUAUAAAAAAUAAACUAUUUUAUGUUUACUUAGGCAACAACUGUCUCCAACUGCAGUCCACCUAUGGUAUAGUGCAUCCUUAGAAGCUGGCUUUCUCCCUGAAGGUCUGAUGUCUCACAGCCUUGGUCUUCGGGCUUGAGGGCACUGAUCAUUACUGCUCUUGCUGGACUCCCAUUUAGUCCUUCCCUUUUUUCCCUUUGGCUCAUUCUCCUUCCACCUCAUUUGCCCGUUGAACUUUUCUGUCCUGGGCCCUGUUAUCUCAACUUGCUCUCACCUUUCAAAUUCCUUUUGUACUCACUCUGAUGAGUCCAGCCUAGUUUAUGAGUGCUGGUAUAUAGAGGGCCCUGGCCCCCCCUUUCCUAUUUAUUAGGCAUUAGGGCAUUUGGCAUGUUUUCAGUGUGAGCUAUGGUGAUCUCAUAACUCACAGGAUGAAGCUAAUAAACAGUAAUUUUAGGUCCAGUAAUAGAUGAAUGGGAGAUCGUUGGCCUUUCAAUUUGCAAGUCUACUCUUCCCAUGGCUAAUAUAAGAAAUCUCGUUGAUUUUGAAAUGGUGAUAUAAAAGACAGGGUUUUAGAUUUGAGGGCUAGAAAUCCCAUACUUAAAUUGCUCAGAAUGUGUUUGCUGGAACAAGAUAAAACUCCUUCCAGUGGAUGCUAAACCUCUCGUAGGGUAGCAAAUUUAAGGAAUAGAGUAAAUUCCAUUAUCAGAUAUUCAAUUUCAAUGUUUAAAAUAGGUGAUUAAAUGCAAUGCAUAAUCUCUGAAAUAGUUCGUAGAAGUGACCAAUGUAAGUAAUGGAAUUUGGGAUUAGAAAGGAUUCUCUUUGCCAUGAAAAAGCAUUUUCAGAUACUCAUCCAGUAAGAUCAACAUGCAGUAGUUAGCUUCGGGUUCUUUAUUUGUUGUUUAUUUAGCAAAUAGAGUAGGGGAAAGGCCCAUAGUUAACCCAUAUAGCUUUUUAAAGGAGGAAGAAAAAAAAAAGAUUUCUCUUUUAGUCCAUUCAGAGUGGCUCUCCCAGGAGAAAGACUGAUGGACCUAACCACAAACACUUUACUCGGUUGCAUGGGCUUAAAAAUGUAGGCACUUUUAAAGGGAACAACUUAAUUUAAUUGCUCCUUUCAUUUAGUUUACGAUGCUGUUUGGAAUCAAGAUGAUUGAUGAUUUCCAAUACCCCAGCUAUAAUUUCAGCCUCUGUUAAUGCUUAGGUAUAAGACUGACAUCAUCUUUAUAAAUUUACCAUUUAGUUAAUCCACUUGUGCUGAUUAAUUAGUGGUUAAAAUCCAAGCAUUCUAUUAGAUAUCCAAAUGAUACUAUAAUAUCUCAAAAUAAAUGACCAUGCUAAUUUUGAAUGCAGAAUGACAUACUGACUUGUGAAAACACUGAAUUAAUGUCAGUUGCCUUUUAAUUGUCUGUGAAUGUUAUGGCACUUUACAUAAUUUGAUCAGCAGGCAUGCUGUACAACAUAGAGGUACCUCUCAGACUUUCUACCUGUAAUCUAGGGUAGUUUUCUUGUUAGGUGGUGAGAGAUCUAGGAGUAAAGAUUUCUAGACACUGACUAAGGAAUCACUAGAGACACAUUUUUUAACAUAACCAUUUGUGUAGUUUCCACAAAUUAUUCUUUAUUAAAGAGAUUAUGAAGAGAUAUUAAAUCUCUACAUUCAGUUGGAUAGACAUCAUACUGAGAAUAUAUUUUUUAAAUAUUUAUUUAUUUAUUUGAGAGAGAGAGAGAGAGAGCAUGCACAUGUGUCAAUGGGGGGAGGGGAGGUUGUCAGAGGGAGAGGGAGGGAAAGAAUCUUAAGCAGGCUCCAUGCCCAGUGCAGAGCCUGACCUAGGGUUCGAUCUCAUGACCCCAGCUGAAAUCAAAAGCCAGAUGCUUAACCAACUGAGUCACCCAGGUGCCCUGUACUGAGAAUAUUUUUAUAUUAAAUAUAAGGUAGGGAAGUUGGAUAAACAUACAGUAAGGAUAAUUUUUUUAAGGAGAUGAAAGGUAAUUGCUGUGGUUACUAGUAUUUCCUAUUAAAGCUGUAAAAUUAAUCUAAGGCCCUGGGAUUUUUUAUUUCCUGGUCCAUAUUCUCUCAACACUCUGAGCCUAAUCAGACUAAUGUGGAUGCUGUAGGCAUUCAAAAGUUAAAAUGAAAUAUAUUUUUUAAUGAUUUUAUUUAUUUAUUUGACAGAGAGAGACACAGAGAGAGAGGGAACACAAGCAGGGGGAGUGGGAGAGGGAGAAGCAGGCUUCCUGCGGAGCAGGAAACCUGAUGGCGGGGCUCGAUCCCGGGACCUUGAGAUCCUGACCUGAGCCAAAGGCAGAUGCUUAACGACUGAGCCACCCAGGCGCCCCAAAAGUUAAAUUAAAAUAUUGAUGCUUGACUUUAAGUACUAAGCAAGUGAGACAAGUACAGUUUUUUCUUCCUUUAUUUUAUUUCUGAAUAAAUUUAUUAAUUUUAUUAUGACACAGAAUACUCAAUUAAGUCUAUGGUGACUCUCUUACUCCCCAGUUCCUUUUCUCCAAACUCCCGCUAUUAAAAUGACUAUAUUUUGCCAUAUCUAGAAGAAUGUGGAAUGUAUAAAUCUUUCUCUUUUCCAAGUUUUUACCGCCACUGUCCAUAAACGUUAAGGUAGGGGAGAGAAGAGCAGGUUUGACUAACAUGAGAGUAAGUAGGGUGUGAGACUUGACUUGUUUUCUGGGAAGGAAGAAAAUAUUUCUGGAGAAAGGAAGUGUGCUGAGGGAUCUUGGGCCACAGCUCUGGAUUCUGGAAGAAGCAAUUUUCAGCAAGUAACUCUUAUUACCCAUAGCUCCAGAAAUGGGCUUCAUCUAGCUUCAGCAGCUGAAUGGACCCUGUAUUUUUAUUCCAUUAAUAGAAAUGAAAAAUUUAUAUUGUAAAUGUUAGAUGAAUAUAUCCUACCUAAUUUCAAUAUGUCUAAUACCAUUAAUAGGUCAAGCAAGAAAAUGUGAAUGACUGAAGUCAGAUCUUCAUAUGCUCUGGUAGUAUAAAGAGGUAAAGAGGUAAAGAGGGAUAGAUAGAGAGGAGAGAGCUAGAGAUGCCAGGAGCAUCUCAAAUGAAGUGCGUGGUCACUGCAGUGGUGGGAAGCUGAACAACUGUCUAGUGCACUGUUGUGUUGGCUCAGAUCAUCAAAAUGCCUGGUGGAUAAUAGCCACUCCACAAAAAUACAUCUCCGCAUUUUCUGGGACUGGUCACUUGUAUUCUUUCUGUUUAGCUUGAGGCAAUGUGUAGCUUUGACCUAGGAACUUUUUGAAGUUCAUGGCUCUGAGUCUCAGUGGUUCUGUUUCAUUUGAUUUACAAAGUACUUUUUAGCAUUAACUUUGCAACGAAGGAGCUUUAUUCCCAGAAGAUGUUUUAGCCAGGGGUAUACUUGUCAUGAUUUAUGACCAGAGCAAAUAAUGAAAUAUAUAAAACUGCAUAUGAUGGGGCCCAUUAAGUUAUUUCUAGAUAACUUUGCUCCUAAGUUAAACUGGCUAUGUUUUUCCAUGUCUGUGUCUGAUAAGUAGAUUUAUCUCAACAUCAGGUUUUCACAAGAUUAAUAAUCCCUCUUUGUUAAGAGAGUCUGUUUUAAAAUUGAGGACAGUUAUCCUGAUGUGAAUUUUAUAAACAUGUGUUAAACAAUAUUAUGCUUUCAUAUAUUUAAACAUAUCUGAUAUUAUAACUAUACUUUUAAUCAGAUAUCUUACAAACAUGGGAAGUAUACUUAGUAAGAAAAAAAGUGGUGAGGCUAAAAAGAUUUUUUCUUUAGCUUGAGUAAUACCGUGCUCUCAAAGCUGUAACCUGAAUUAUUAGCACAUAUGAAUCCAUCUUCUUAAUUAAAUGGGGCCUUUGGCCAUUGAGCCACUAGCAUAUGAACAGCGUUAGUUACUGAAUGUUAUUAUGAGGCUGGCCUGGCCACAUAAUCCAUUAGAGGUAGGAUUCGGUUAUAUUGGUAGCAGGAAAGUGAUUUUUAUGGUUGUAAGAAUCUUCUCUUUGUUCUGUCAGUAUCAGUUAUUUCAGUACUAAUAAAAAUCUAAAAAGGGGGCCAAGUUUAUGAUCUGUGCCUUGGAUGGCUAAUUUGUAACAUUUCUAUCCAAUAAGCCAUGAGUUUCUUUCUUUCUUGAAAGGACCUAUGCUAUGUGGUUUGUCUAAAUUACCCCAGUGUGUAACUAUGGAGAGAGUGAGCGUGAUAUCAUGGGAUUAUAAUGUUAGAAAGUUUCAUUGAAGGGCAUGAAUAGACAUUAAAAUAAUAAAUAUGCACUUAUGUGUAUGUCUGUAUGUGUUUAGGAUUGCAAUAGUGAAUAUCACAUAUUUCCUUUGGGGAUUUUAUCAGUGUCAAUCAAUUUUGCUUAAAAUUUUGGAGAAAUAACUUAUAGUAAUAUGUUAAAAUGUAUGGUAACAAGUGAGAGGAAAUCUAUGUACUCAUUCAAAGUUUUGGUCCACCUUUCAGAUGACACACCAAUAAAUUACUGAAAAACAACUCCUUUAAAACAACAGUGCAAAGUAAAUCAAGGGCAGAACUGGCAUGGCAUAGUGGCGGGGCGGGGGGGAUAAUGGAACUUGUCUUAUGAUGUUAAACAGCGUCAUGAGAGGAUACCGUAAGAGGUUGUGCAUGUAUAUAUUUUGCAAGUUAUGGAGCCCUAGAAUUCAAAAUGUUAGGUAGAGCUUCCCAAAAACCCCAGAAAUAUUAAGCCUCUAUUUAAUACUGUUGCUUCUGUGUGUGUGUGUGUGUGAGCCUAUGUCCACACAUCAUGACGAUGUUGCCAAGACAUACGCUGAGCUGGUCAAACAAGACGGCAAGGAGAAGGAGAUAGGAAAUAAGAGUGGUACUCUCUCCCAUUUAAAUCCAAAGAGCUGAAUUUGUCAAAGUACUUUCUGAUAAUAGACGGCUAGAUGGCUAAAUGAUGCCAAUCUAUAUACUUUUCUAGUAAUAAUGCAGGAUGGAGGUCAUUACACUGUCCACAUCCAAGAACAGAAGGGGAUUUUAGGAAGAGUUUGUAAACUUAGGGGAAGGAAACCAGAUUAAGUAUUUAAGUUGGGUUACAGAGGUUAUCUAAAGGCAUAGCUUCUUUAGAGCCAUCAGAAGGCUAUAAAGAAAAACAGACCAGGAUAUAGACCCCUCAAAUGGUUAUACAAUUUCAAAUUCAGGAAAUUUGUAAAUAAACAGGAAUAUUAAGUUUUUGAGUUAUCGCCAGAGGUAUGAAAUAAAAUAUAGAUUAUUUGUAUAUGCAAUGAGAGAAAGAAAGGUGAUACUCUUAUGUAAGAAUAGACUAUGAUACUGGAUUAGAUUGUUAACUGUAGAAAAAAAAUGUUAUAAAGGACAUUAUUAAGAUAAUUGACAAAAUUUGAACAUGGACUGUAUAUUACAUAGUUAUAUCUAUCAACAUUAAUUAACCUUAAUUAGUGAAAUGUACUAUGGCUGUAUAAGAGCAUGUCCUUGUUCUUAUGAUACAUACUGAAUACUUAGAAUAAAGGGCCAUAAAGCUUGCGACUUACUUCAAAUGGUUUAGUAAAAUCAUAACAGUGAUAUUAUUAUUACUGAGAAAGAGACAUAAGCACAUGUGGCAAAAUGUUAGCAAUUUGUAAUUCUAGGUGAAUGAUGUAUGGGCCUUUAUUAUGUUAAUACUGUAACUUUUUGAAGAUUUAAAAUAUACUGAAUAAAAGAUAGAAAAAAAUAGAUGCAACUAACAAGUAAAAGUACUAGAUGAUGGACUCUGGAAAACAAACUGAGGGUUCUAGAGGGGAGGGGGUGGGGGAUGGGUUAGCCUAGUGAUGGGUAUUAAAGAGGGCAGGUAGUGAAUGGAGCACUGGGUGUUAUACGCAAACAAUGAAUCAUGGAACACUACAUCAAAAACUAAUGAUGUAAUGUAUGGUGAUUAACAUAACAAUAAAUUUUUUAAAAAAAGUACUAGUACUACUAGUAGUAAUAAUAAUAAUGAUAAUAGUAAUCAUAAAUGUGUACUGAGCUUUUUAGGUAGAUGGAAGUCUUGAUACACAAAAGUAUCCAAAGGCCAGAAUAACUAUGAUUGAGACACUAGAAUAGAAUGUUCACUAUGAAGUUCUAAGCUUAAUUUAAAUAGGCUUAUAUCAGUGUACACCUAAUAGCAAUAGAAAACUCUCCUGGAUCAUUUUCUUGAAGGGCAGUGAACUUUGCAAGUUACCAAACAUAUUCUUGAACUGUGUUGGAGAUAAUACUGUGACGUAUAAAGAGGAGAAAGAAAGUAGGAAAAGAAAACUCUUCUAAAUUUUAUCCAUUAGGAGCGUGAUAUACUAGGAAUUAUAAUUGGAAGAAAGGAAAGGUUGAUGAUAAUGAUCAGAAUAGAGUGUAAUUGAAAACAUGUAAAUAAAGAAGAGACUUCAGUAAAUAUAGAAGAAAAUGGGAGAAAAAUGUUCUAGGUAUGAGUAAUAUUCAAAAUCCACAGAUCAUCACCCCCUUCAUAUAUAUAAGGUCACUAAGUGCUCUGACCAUCAUGGUGUUAGAUUUCACCAUCUUCAUCUUUAAGCCUUAGGGAAACAGAAGUCCAUUACUGUCUUGAUGGACAGAAGACCCCUCCGUGGCAAAUUGUCUUGGUCUUCUAUUCUUACUAUACAAUCUUUGUGGACCUUUUUUUUCUGCUUAAGAUGGAAGCAAAGGACCUGCAAAGGGUCAAGGCAACCCACAUUUUGGUUUUUACUUCCUCAAUUCAGCCAACCAUUCAUUGAACCCUCAUUCAUAUUUCACAGCAUUCUUUUUUAUCGGGUACGCCUAGAAACCAUUUUGACCUCUUUUUGACAGACCUUGCCUUCUAAGUCCAUUUAUUAUUAUUUUCAAUUUUAUUUUCCUUUCUCUCUGUUUCUUAAGCCUCCGUUGGAGUACCAGGACACUCUUUUCUCUUUUAAUCUCAAGCUAUCUCUUAAAGGGAUCUGAUGAAGAGUAGUCUGGAUUUCACAGGGCGGUGAUUUCUGCAGGUGCCAUAAUAAUUAUUAUACCAGAUUGGCAGAGGAAAAGAAAUCUCACAUGGAUAAGUACAAUGCUUUUAAAAUAUAAGUAGUGAAUGCUACAAAAAUGGAAGGUAGAUUAUUUGACAAAAAAAAUUGCAAUUAGUACCUAAUUGCUUGUUCAAGUCAUAGAAAAGCAACAACUACAACAAAACAAAAGAAAUGAGAUAAAGAAUAAAGAAAAAAAUGAACACUGUAUUUUUUUUUCUUUUAAAUACAUUAAAACUGAGGAAAAUGAUAAAGGAGAACAUUGUUCCUUUAUCAGAUGGGAAAGGAAAACUUAACUGAUGACAUAAAAAAGGCAGAGACUUUUAAUAAGUAUUUUCUUUACCUCUGUCUUCACACAAAAAGGUCAUCUUUGAUCUAAUCACUGAAAUAGCCAACACCUGGGCUGGGAGGGCAGAAAGUCAUGAUAAAAGAAGGAAUGAACUAGAGAUUGUGUAAAAAAAAAAAAAAAAUUAAAAAUAAAAGGUUGUUCAAAUGCUGGCGUUGGCAAACUUUAAUAUAUAAAUGGAACUCAUUUAAGUAUGGGGUGUCAAUUGUCUUCCUCUUUGGGGGCUUUCAGUUCAUAUGAUAUAUGCAAUCCCUUUCAAUUAAAUAAUAAAUAGAAGUUUUGUAUGUACAGAGUCUAGAGGAAAUCAGACAGGACUAUGAUGUAGCCCCAAACCUCAAGAAAUUUGCACACACUAAACUACCCUGGGGUAUGACUUUCUAAUAAAGAAAAUGAUGUAAUGUGAUUUAUUUAUAAAAUUAUUCAUAAAAGAUGCACAACUAGCUAAGUAAAGUCCUCAUGGGUCCAGAGAUACUUAUCAAUGGUUUUAAGCAACCUCAGGGAAAUUUUAUCAAAUUACUUAAAUAUGAGUUUGUUUGUUUGGUUUUUGUUUGUUUGUUUUAAUGAGGGAGUUAGAUGGGGAGAGCAACAGAGGUUGGGUCAAGUGGACGAGCACCAAAACAGGAAAGCAGUGGCUAGAAGUGGGAAACUACCCAGAGUAGUAUCUAGUUAAUGAGUGAAUCGGAGUCUGGGAUAACAUCCUGGAUUUGUCAAUCUCAUUCUCUGUAGAGUGGUUCAAGUUUAUGGGAGUAAAGACAACAUCUUCGGUUCAGAUCUUCUAACUUCCUGGGAAUAAUGAGGGCUCUGUUCCCAGUGUACCACCCAGGGACUUCUUUGCCAGAACACAGGCAGUCAAUGAUUUGUGAUUUUGUUCCUGGUGUACGUAGUGUAACUUGAUUUUGAUUAAGUAUUCUGACAAAGUGUCCCAUGAUAACUUUGUUAGUAUUUUGUGGCAAGGAGUUUAGAGAUAAUAUUUUGUCAUUAUUAUUUGAUAUUCUUCCAAGGUACCUAAAAUUCCUGAAUUUUUUCCUUAUCCAUAGCAACCUAAGUAGGAAAAAUUGACCUAUUAAGUCCCAAGCCCAAAUCUGAAAUUUAGGAUUUAUUACACUUCAGAAAAAAAAAAAAAGGAUUUGCUGGAGAGAAAUCAAACAAGGGUCUCCAUUGGUGGAAAAAAAGCCAUGGGAUUACCAACUACUUUUUUUUUUAAGAUUCCAUUCAUUUAUCUGACAGAGAGAGACAGUGAGAGAGGGAACACAAGCAGGGGGAGUGGGAGAGGGAGAAGCAGGCCUCCUGCCGAGUAGGGAGCCCGACGCGGGGCUCGAUUCCGGGACCCUGGGAUCAUGACCCAAGCCGAAGGCAGGCGCUUAACGACUGAGCCACCAGGUGCCCCGGAUUACCAACUACUUCUUAGGGCGAGUGUAGGAGAGAGAAGAGUAGAGUCAAAGGGGAGAAAAGAGUUGCCUGGAGCCUCCUACCAGCAGGGAAGAUUUUCAUCAGGAAAGCAAAAGACAGAAAAAGAGAGGAGAAUGAGUGAGGGGUGAUUGGACUAAAGGCUUUGGUCUCUUACCGGCGCAGUAACAAAAAAGGAAGAAGCCAAGGAGAGGAUCACACCUUUCUAGAGGACCUUUGAAGAGCCAGUGAUUCUGCCCACUGGGAACUAUGGCAGAAUCAGCGUCCUGGAAUAUAACUAAGCAGAUUAGCCUCCCUUCCACUUGUUGGGUUAGGGAGUAAAAAUAGGAGUCUGUAAAGAGGCAGACAAGGCCUUGGCAUGCAGAUUAGAUAUUAUAGGCAUAAGUAUUUUUUAUUCUAUCAUUUAUCAGUCUGUUUAUAUGUGCACAAAAGUACAAACUUGAAGAAAAUUGGCCCAUAACCAUAGCCCUAGAUAACUUUUGAGGUGAAACAUUCUAUUACUCUCUGGAGCUUAUCUUGUCCAAGACUUUGCUUCUAUAGUUCAUCUGUUCUUUGUUCUGUAACAUUUCUCUACUAAUAGAAGAUUAUUCCUAUAUGAAUAAAGAUACAUUUUAUUAUCAUCAAUCACAAAACCCUUCUUUGGUUCCAUAAAUCACUGCACUUUUCUGUACCCUAUUCACAGCAAAACAUCUUGAAAUUGUUGUCUCUGGUCUUGUUUCCAUUCUUUCAUCUCCUGUUUACAAUAGUCUACUCAACUCCAUACCAGUAAGGAUCCCUUUCCCUAGCACUUAACUCCCUGAUGUUAAGGUUACAAAUGACUUCCUUGUAGUCCAGUCCAAUCCUCACUUCUUUUCUUACCUCUCAGCAUUGUUCAACCACAUGGAGUACUCCUUCCUUCUUGAAACACUUAUUUUCUUGACUUUGGAAACAUCACACUUUCCUUGUUUUCAUCCUGUUUGACUGGCUGUUGCUUCUCAGUUUCUUUGAUUAAUCUCUCCUCUGCUCAAUAUCUAAGCAUUGGAGUUUUUGAAGAUUUUCCUGUACCCUCUUCUCUUGUAAGGAUAUGCUUUCUCUCCAGGUUUGACUUUUUAAUCCUAUAGCUCUGAAUACCAUCUGUAUAUGAAAGGCACUUAGAUCUUUAUUUCCAGAUCUGACUUGUCCCCUGGAACUUCAAUUAGCAAUAAUCGCGCCUCGGAUAAACCUCAUUGGCUAUGAUACUGCCACUGCGCAAAGCUUCGCCUGGAACUUCAAACUCGUAUUUCCAAAUACCUACUUUAAAGCUUUUCAUAGAUACCUAAUAAGUGUCUCAAAUUUAAUGUGUCCUAAGAACAGCUCUUUAUCAUUUGUCACCCAAACCUGUUCCUAUCCAAUUGUUCCAUCUCAGACAAUUUCAUCAACACACCCAGUUGGUUGAAGUUAAGAAAGUAUUGUUGGGGCACGAGGGUGGCUCAGUCGUUAAGCGUCUGCCUCCGGCUCAGGUCAUGAUCCCAGGGUCCUGGGAUCGAGCCCCGCAUUGGGCUCCCUGCUCAGCGGGAGGCCUUCUUCUCCCUCUCCCACUCCCCCUGCUUGUGUUCCCUCUCUCGCUGUGUCUCUCUCUGUCAAAUAAAUAAAUAAAAUUAAAAAAAAAAAAAGAAAGUAUUGUUCUCUUCUUCUCUUCCUCUCCUAUCCAGUUCAUAAUAAGUCCUGUCAAACCAAUCUCUAAAAUAUUUUCUGAGUCCACCCAUUCUCUUCACCUUAAUCUUGGUCAUCAUCCUCUCUUGCCCAGAUUAUUGCUGUCUAACGUGGUUUCUCUGAAUUUUACUUUUACUUCCUUAAAAUCUAUUGUGUUUAGGAACCAGAGUAUUCUUUUAAAACAUUAUUCAUAUCAUGUCCCUCACCUGCCUAAAACUCACCAAUGGCUUCCCACUGCAAUUAGAAUAAAAUCCACAUUCUUUGCUCUGUUUACCUCUCUGUCCUCAUCUUGCACCACUAUCCCCUCAUCUCUGCACUCCAGCCAUGCUUUUUCUUCAACAUGUGAUGUUCAUUCCUAUGGUAGGGCUUUCUCUCUGCCUUGAACACUCUUCCCCUUUAUCAUUGUUUGGUUGUUUCUUCUUGUCAGUUAGAACCCAUCUGAAAUGUCACUUUGUCAAAGGGGGCCUCCCUCACUUCUCAAAUAAACAACCUGUCAUAAGUACCCAUUGUUCUAUUUUGGCUAUCUUCAUAGCACUUGUAAUAUUGUUUAUAACAGUAAUUUUAUUUGUGUAUGCAGUUUCUUUAUUCAUUUGUUGCUUGAUUUAUUUUCUCUAUUUCGUUUUCACCUCCUACUAGAAUAAAAAGCCAUGGAGAGUAGGGAGUUUGUCAAUCCUGAAAGAGUCAUAAGAGUAUCUGAUAGGUAAUAGGUACUCUAGAGGUAUUUGUUAGAUAGAAAAAUAAGUUAAUGGAUGGUUACAUAUUAAGAUAUUUUUGAUAUAAAUCAUUAGGCACACUUUAGACUAUAUAUACACCCCCUUCUCAACCACAGUUUGAUUUUCGUGAUGUUUAAGCACCUUGAGGAGUGUCUGAUGUCCCUUUGGAUGAAUGUGCAAAAGGUGUGUUUACCAAAUUUGCAAUUAUGGGAAACGAGGGAAAGAUAACUUCUAGGAUGGAGUUAAAAAACAAAAUUAAGAUUCAAAAUUACUGCCACAUUGCGUGUUAUACUUCGAUAUGAUACUUUUUUAUUAAAAAAGUUUUGUUACAAUCUGGGAUAUUGGAUGGAAAAGCCAAAUGAAAUUAAGAAAAGAACCUUGUAUUUAUACUUGAAAGGUGAACUGCACAAGCCUAAGCCAAUGGAAACUUGAUAGUAAUGAAUGUGAAGAAGAACUAGGGGUGAAGUGAGAAUUAGGGAGGUGUGGGUCCCCAAGGAACACAGUAGAUGUCUUAAAUCUCUAUCUGUAAUCCUAUACUUUAAUGCAUAGUUAAGAUAUGUCCCUUUUGUGAGAACUCCCAUGAUAGUUCCAGCCUGGAGCCUCUCUCCUGUCUGAACCCUUCGAAGAUUUUGUCCCUACCUAUAAUGACAACUACUGUUUACUGCUUUCUUUUAAUAUUUGUGUACAUGUCUUAAUCUCACCACCUUGACUGCAAACUCCUUAAGAGGCGGUACUGUGUUUUGUUUUAAUUGCUCUGUUCCACUUAAUUUUUUACAAAUUGUUGGAGGACACUCAGUAAAUAUUUACUUUGUAAGUGAAUGACUAAGUAGCAGAUAAGGCUAAAUUAUGUGAGUAUAUGCAUUUAAAAAAAAAAUGAUUAGGGGCCCCUGGGUGGCUCAGUUGGUUAAGCAUCUGACUCUUGGUUUCAGCUCAGGUCAUGGUCUCAGGGUCAUGAGAUCAAGCCCUGUGUCGGGCUCCGUGCUGGGUGUGGAGCCUGCUUAGGAUUCUCUCUCUCUUCCUCCCCCUCUGCCCCCUCCCAUGCACUCUCUCCCUAAAUAAUGAUAAUAAUAGUAAUAAUAAUAAUGAAAUUUUAUAAGAACCAUCGUUAUAGAAACAAAAUUAUUGGGGAAGUUUUAUUUAAUAUAUGUGUGUGUCUAGGUUUGGGGAGGAAGGUAGUCUCUGUAAGUAGUAAUGAAUUAAUAAAAAGAAAGAAAAGAUAUUUCUGAAAAAUGGUACUAUUCUAAUUGGUUUAAAAGUAAAAUUUUCAAUAAAUUUUAUUUAAGAGGUUUAGUUUUACAAAGGAUAGACUGGGGUAGAUAGGUAGGUAAGACAGAUAGAUAUUAACAUAUAUUGAAAUAUCUGGUCAAUAAUUAUAUUUCCCUGUGAAAUAAAAAUCUGGGACGACUUGAUGUUUUUAAAUUAAAUGGAAAUAUUUAAAAACCUCCCAAAACUUUUAUUCAUAUUAUUUUUUAAAAUAACUUGUUAAUUUCCACAUUUAGCCAAUUUUAAUUCAGUGAUAAAAUUUAAUUGCAGUUCAUAAUACCAGUGUGACUUAUAAAACUAAAUUUUAUAUCUAUAAUCAGUGUAUGUAUAUCAAAUUAUAAAAUAAAUCAAAUUCUCACUGACAGGAUAAAAAAGAAAACACUUCUUCAUUAUUGAGAAUGCAGUUACAGUCCCUGCACCCUUGAGUUUGUGUGAGAUGCUUGUGGAAAGUAAAGGAAAUAUUUAAAACCUUCCAGUGAGCCAGCUAUCCAGUGGCCAAAACUUAAUUAAAAAAUUACAUCGAUUGUAGUAAGGACCAAAAUUGGCCAUAAACACAUGGUGUAGGCCAGUAUUAAUUUUCUCUUUUGACUACUUGAUACAAUGAUGUAAUUUUAUUUCACUGUGUAAGAUGAAGAAUGAGAAAAUAAAACUCUAACUCUCUCACAGGGCAGCAAGCUAACUGGGCAUGGAGACUUGAUCUUAUUCACUGUUAUGUUCCAAAGGCCUAGCGGUGCUUUUAUGUACAGUAAACACUCAUUACAAAGUGCUCCCUUACCUAAGAAUUCAGAUAUAAUGUGAGUGUAGAAUAGCUUUCAUCUUCCUCCAUUCUUAUCUCAGCUUUGUAGCAAUGAGAUUGAAUCUUGGUGCUUCACUUACAGAUUUAAGAUUACUGACUUAGAGAUUUUCUAUAGUUGGGAACCAUUAAUGAUUUUUUUGAAGGAAGAAGUGAGUUAGUUGAAGCAGUUAUUGGAUGUUUGCUGUUUCUAACACAUUGAGUGAUGCUAAAAAUAUACAAGACCCAGCUUAGAGCCUAUAGUACAAGUAAAGUGGAGAUGUGUUCCUUUGUAACUAUAUUUGAGUCUGUGGAGAUGAUGAUCCCCCCCCCCUUUAUGCUUAUUCUUUAUAUAUUGAGAAAGAGAAAAGCAUUGCUGAUAGUGUGGUGUUCUGCUGUUGAACGUAACAUUUCAGAGACCAUUGACAUUAGGCGAAGACCUUCUGUGAUCAUGAUGGAUCAGGCAAAAACUAGACCACUCCAUACUCAUACCCAAACUUGGGCAAAGACAUGAACAUUUUGAAGAUCAGAGAAUGCCCAAAUAUUUCCCAUCUUUUUUUUAAAAUCAAUCACAGCUUUUUUUUAAACCACAUUCUUCUUACCUUCUAGAUAAGAAUUUUUAAGAUACCCAAUCACAGAAUGACUCCUGCUUCCUGACAGCAUCCAAUCCAGAGCCGAGUCCUGCUUUUCUUUUUUUAUGGAUUUCCUAUUUUUUUUUCAUUUUUUAAAAAUUUAAAUUCAAUUAGCCAACAUCAUUAGUUUCAGAUGUAGUGUUCAAUAACUCAUCAGUUGCAUCAUAACACCCAGUGCUCUUCACAUCAUGUGCCCUCCUUAAUACCUGUCACCCAGUUACCCCAUCCCCCCCACCUUCCCUCCAGCAACCUUCAGUUUGUUUCUUAUAGUUAAGAGUAUCUCAUGGUUGGCCUCCCUCUCUAAUUUCUUUCCAUUCUGUUUUCCCUCCCUUCCCCUAUCAUCUUCUGCGCUGUUUCUUAUAUUCCACGUGAGUGAAACCAUAUGAUAAUUGUCUUUCUCUGAGUGACUUAUUUUGCUCAGCAUAAUCCCCUCCAGUUCCAUCCACAUCAAUGUAAAUGGUAAGAUUUCAUCCUUUCUGAUCACUGAGUAAUAUUCCAUUGUGUGUGUAUGUGUAUGUCUA